GAGAGAGGUGCUUUUCAGAAGGGCAGAGAGAGAUAUGUUUUGGGUGCUGGGAAGCUUGAGAGAAGAAAGGAAGCAAGGUUAGCCAAAGAAGAGGAGAUUGAGUUUUUACAGAAGGAGAUUUUUUAUUUUUUUUUUGGGAAGGAGUUUUGAACCAUGAGUGCAGGGGACCGUAUUCUGUAGAGGGUUACAGAGAGGUUUUUGUUUGGUUUGGAGGGAAAGCUACCGGAGGGGGGGGAGCUCUUUCUGGCGAGGCUACUAGUUACAGGAAAGGAUAAACUCGGCAGUCUCCUUGCUCAUUUCAGCUGGAGGGGAGCCUUUCAGGUGCGUUUUCUGGACCACAUACUUAUUGCAGUUGAUUUUCUUGAUAUUGUUGUGAUUAUGUUAUAAAUAAUUUGUGCCUUGUUCUUCAUAUAAAAUUUAUUUAAGAGUGAUCCGAUUCCUUUUUAUCUCUCCAUUGGGUGUCUGAGUCAUAUCUUUGGGUCCUAUUUCCACUGAUUUUCCCACCUAUACAUGAGCCUAUUGACUCCAAUAUGAAAUGGAGCUCGGGUCGGUGUUUUCUUUGGUUCAGUUGAUACUCUGUUUUUGUGAUUGCUCUCUUGUUGUUUAUACUUUGUUUUCGAUGGCCAUUCAUACCCUCAAGGAGAAGGGUUUUGGUCCAGCAUGAGCCUUUGGUUUCAUAUGGGCAUAGUUUCUAAAGCUUGAGACCAGAAGACACUUCGUAGGCUAGCUCAGAAUCGAGAGGCUGCAAGGAAGAGUCGGCUGAGGAAGAAAGCUUUGGUUCUGGAUAGGCAUAUGUCCAGCAGCUGGAGUGUAGCUAACCCAAGCUUACACAAUUAGAGCAAGAGCUUCGACGAGCACACCAACAGGGUGUUUUUAUUUCGAUUGGAUUUUCUGGGGAUCAGAGUCAUUCCAUGGGCGGAAAUGAGGCUUUAGCAUUUGACAUGGGUUAUGCUCGCUGGCUUGAUGAAUAUCAGCGGCUAAUCAAUGACCUGAGAUCAGUUGUAAAUUCUUAUGUAGGGGAUAAUGAACUACACAUUCUUGUCGAUAGCAACAUGGCCACCUACAAUGCAUGGAGCUAUGAUGAGCAUCUCAUUCGAGUAGUUAUUUGCUGUGGCCUGUAUCCUAGAAUUUGCUCUGUUGUGCAAAAUGGAAAGUCAUUCUCAUUGAAAACAAUGGAGGAUGGUCAAGUGCUCUGGCAUUCGAAUUCAGUCAAUACUCGAGAAUGUAAAAUUCCAUAUCCAUGGCUAGUUUUCAAUGAGAAGAUAAAAGUAAACUCUGUUUUCUCCGAGAUUCAACAGCUGUGUUUGAUUCAGUGCUUCUUCUAUUUGGGGGCGACAUCUUGAGAGGGGAUGGUGAUGGGCACUUGAAAAUGUUGGGGGGGGAGGGGGGGUGGUACUUGGAAUUCUUCAUGAAACCUAAUACAUCAGAAAUGUACCAAAGCUUAAGGAGAUAACUUGAUGAGCUUAAUUCAGAAUAAACUACUAAAUCCCAGAAUGGGCAUACACAUGCAUCAUGAGCUCCUUUCUGCAGUGCAGCCAAAAUGAAAGAUGAAUUGUUCAAACCCAGCUCAUGAAGAACUGAUGUGGCACACUCCUUGUCCUUCAGGGUCCCAUCUUUCAUUAUUUCAACCAGAGUUACAAUGAACGAUAACCUUCCAGCUUCAGUCCGCCCUUCAGGAUGUGAUACUAAAGGCAAUAAAAUUGAGAGAGCUUCAUCGAUCACUCCCAGGUUUUUAUCCUCGAGCAGAUGAAGUAAUGCUGGUAUGAUACCUGCCUUGAUGGCUCGCGACUUAUUGGAUUGGUUGAGUGACAGGUUAAACAAGGCAGUGCCUGCAUCCUCCUCUAUCCUUCAUGCUCACAACCCCACCACAUAUCUAUUAAACCCAUCCUUUAUUCCACCAAUCUCAUACCCAUUUUUCACUGCCCACUUCUUCACCCACAUUCCCAUUCUUCAAAUAUCCAUUAUUCCACCCUUCCCACUAUCUAUUCUACCCAUGACGCCCAUUUCCUCCAUCCAUCAAACCCAUCGCUUCACACCCACCGAACCCUAUGCAUAUUCACCCUCAAUGUUCUCUACACCUUUAUCAUCUUCCCAAACUCACAUACCCAUCACUAAGCCAACCUAAUAAUUCUUCAUCUGUCAUCCCACAGCCGGCAGCUCGUUUCACCAUUCUGCCCAUUCUAAUAACCUCAUCAUGCCUCUUCAUAUCCAUCACCAUCCGUAUUUCUAUUUUUUUAAUACCCAUCAAACCACUUUUCUCACUACAUUUUCACCACCCGUCCUACCAAUAAUACUCCCACCAUUCCUGCUCCAACAUAUCUAUCCUCAUGCACAUACCCAUAACCCUGCACUCAUCAUUACCGUCCAUCAUCCAUUCAAUCACACCCUUUAUAUCCCCCAGAACUCAUCUUUCAUACCCAUUGAAUUUGAAUACCCUCACUCAUACUUUCAACCACUCAAUCCCAUUAUAUUCCGAAUCGCAGAUCAGGAUAUAAUUCUAUUCCUCAAGAUUUUUGCUCGUUGUGACCCUACAACGCGUGAAGAAACGAUGCAUGCAAUCUGUGCACUAGCUCACGUGAUUGGCUCAAAGUUUGGGACAUUGGGAUAUGAUGCUCAUUGCCAAUCCCUUAAAGGUUACUGCUGUUAGUUUCAUUUACUGAAGAAGAAAUCAGGUUAUUGCUAAGCCCGCAUGCAAGCUUAUUCCUGAUCUCAGCGUCUUCAACAUUUGAAUGGCUUUACACUGAAGGGUGGAAGUGAGGAGCUAAAAACGAGAGAGCUGUAGUGUGGCAGGGGAUCGAGAUAGAACAAGAGAAGCAUGGAAGAGGGGAAGAAUCAUUGGGGGCCUACACCCUUUGUUGGGAGGAAUGCAAUAAAAAAAAAUUGAUGUGGCUUCACUAGCAUCAAAACAGCCUAUUCUUAUAUGAUGAGGUAAUCUUAUAUGAAGAUGAAUUGGCUGAUAGUGGAGUGUCACUUUUAACUGUGAAAGUGAGGGUCAUGCCAACUUGUUGGUUUCUUCUCUUGCGUUUCUGGUUUAGAGUCGAUGGAGUGCUUAUGAGAUUGAGGGACACUCGCAUGCAUUGCAUUUUUAAGGAUGAUGCAAACCCCAUCAUUCUUCGGAAAGCUGCUGGAGAGAAGCUACAUUCCAAGCUUUAUCUGCAAAAGGAUAUCCUUCUGAUUCUACUGCAUAUAAUGAUCCAAGCACCAACAGCCAGAGGCUUCCCAUCAUCAUGCAUAAGACCCAAAAGCUUAAGGUGAAGUAACUGAUCUUAUGCUGCAGAAUGCUGUUUCAAGAAAGAUUAUGAUUUGCAUUAUUGAAAAGAGCAUUGAGGAUGGAUUUUCAUAAAGAGUUGGAGUUGCGUAGGAAGGAGAUGCUAGAGAGAAUUCAGGCAAAUAUUGUAUAAAUACGACGCGGGGAUGAUGAAGACACUGAUGCUUCAGACAAGGACUACAGUGGUUGAUGCAGCAGUUGAAGAUUGGACAAAGGAUUAUAACAUCUGAACCUCACUGAAGUUGCCAUAGAUAAAUGGCCCCCUUCUAUUAGUUCAAACAGAGAUUACCUUCUGUGUUUUUUUCUAAGAGUUAACAGAUUUUAUGGAGUGCAAUAGGGGCAAGCCACAACCUCCUUUUGAUUAGAUAAAGCCUGCUCUUCCAGCUCUUGGGCGUCUUAUUCACUCGAAGAAUGAUGAAGAUGUGCUAACUGAUGCAUGUUGGGCACUGUCUUACCUUUCUGAUGGUACAAAUGACAAAGUUCAAGCUGUUAUUGAAGCGGGUGUAUGUCCUAGGGUUGUUGAGCUUUUACUUUACUCAUCUCCUUCUGUUCUCAUUCCUGCACUUCACAUGGUUGGAAACAUUGUCACUGGAGAUGAUAUGCAAACCCAGUGCAUAAUCAACCAUCAGGCACUUCUUUGCCUUCUGAACCCGUUGACCAAUAACCAUAAGAAGAGCAUCAAGAAGGAAGCUUGUUGGACUAUUUCAAAUAGAGCAGAUUCAGGCUGUAAUUGAGGCAAACAUAAUUGGUCCCCUUUGUUCAUUUGCUUCAAAAUGCUGAAGACAAAUCGUGAUUGGGUUGCCUCUACGUUAAAGUUAGCAUGGAUGGUGCUCCAUACCUGAGGAACACCUCAAAACCUAUUGCAAUUAUGUGGAACUCUCAUCGGCUCUGGAGAAGAUGUUCAGCUGCUUUCCAAUUGGGCAGUGUGGUUCUCAUGGACUUCUAUGGCACGAUGGGCUGACUGAGAGUCACUUAAUGGAUAUUCUUCAUGGUUCUGAAUAUAUGCUAACAUAUGAGGAUAAGAAUGGAAACAAGUGGAUGUUUCAUUUCUCAAGCUCUCCAUCUUCGCUUCUAAAAAUUGAUUUUCAAAAAUUUGAUUUUCAAGUAGUUUUCUUUUACUCCUUAACCUUUUCAUUAUUUUAUUCUCUUUUAUUAUUUCAUUUUAUUAUUUUAUUUUAUUUUAUUUUUUUACUUUUUAUUUCCCUUUUUUUUUCUUAAUAAUCUUAAAGUCAAUAAAAUCCCUUUUUAAUAAAAUUUGCUUCCACUUCCUAUUCAGCAAGCAAUUUUAAUAUCUUUCUUGGUCUUUUAAAAUGUUUUAAAAUAAGUAUGAAUUUAUUCCUAUAAUUUCAAAUGAUGGAAUUUAUGGGAUUGACUCAUACAAUAUAAAAUCGGCUUUGGUGGGGGUCAACAUAUGUGAUUUUAUGAUUGACUGAUUGACUGGUUGAUUGCUAUAUUUGUUUGAUUUAUUAUGCUCUAUGACAUGCAUGAGAUUAUUCCUUAAUUCUGCACUAACCCCCUCUCUUGAUAGCGUAUAAUGGCUCAUUGCCCAGGUAUGCACCCAUUCUCACUCUGGUCAUUCUAUAUGCAUGUAUUGAUUCUCACACGUGCAUGAUCAUUUUGAGUAUCCAUUGAUUUUCUUAUUGAUUGUCACAUCAGUUUCAUUUUAUUAGUAGAGACCCGACUUUAGGGACUUAGAGGGGUGCUACGGUCUUUACCGUACCUUCCCAAUAAGUAACCUGACCCUCGAACCCGAUCCCGUUUUUCAUAGACCACAUUUUCCAAAUAAGGAGUCACACUUAGGGUUUUCUUUCUUAUUUUGUUUACCCUUUUAAAAAUAAAACAAAAAUAAGUGGCGACUCCAAGACAUUUUCAUAAUCAAUAAAUCAUUUUUCAAAUAAAAAUCAAGCUUGCCAUCGAGUGGAAGCGCAUGAGCCGAAAUGCGGGGUCCACACAUUAGUUUGGUUAUUCUUUUUGAUCUCAUACUUAGUUUAGUUUAUAAAAAUUGUUAGUUUGGUUGCAUUGUUGAUUUUAUACUUGGUUUAGUUUCUUUUAAAUAUCAUUAGUUGUGGUUAUUCCAUUAAUCAUAUGUUUAGCUUAGUUUUUAAAAAAUUAUUAAUUUGGUUGCUUUGUUGAUGCUAUGCUUAGUUUAUUUAUUUUUAAAAAUCAUUAGUUUGGUUAUUCUUUUAAUCUCAUGGUUAGUUUAGUUUUGAAAAUAUAUUUGUUUGGUUUGUUUGUUGAUAUUACGAUUAAUUUAGUUUUUUUAAAUAAAUAAAAAAUCAUUAGUUUGGUUAUUUUUUUUAUCUUAUGUUUGGUAUAGUUUUUUAAAAUUAUUAGUUUUGUUACUUUGUUGAUAUUAUGUUUAGUUUAGUUUCUUUUAAAAACCAUUAGUUUAGUUAUUCAGUUGAUCUCAUAUUUAGUUUAGGUUUCAAAAAUUAUUGGUUUGGUUGCUUUGUUGAUAUUAUACUUAGUUUAAUUCUCUUAAAAAUCAUUAGUUUAGUUAUUCAGUUGAUCUUAUAUUUAGUCUAGAUUUCAAAAAUUAUUAGUUUGAUUGCUUUGUUGAUAUUAUGCUUGGUUUAAUUCUCUUAAAAAUCAUUAGUUUAGUUAUUCAAUUGAUCUCAUAUUUAGUUUUGGUUUAAAAAAUUAUUAGUUUGGUUGCUUUGUUGAUAUCAUACUUCAGUUAAUUUCUUUUAAAAAUCAUUUGUUUGAUUAUUAUGUUGAUCUCAUGUUUAACGCAAUUUUUAAGCAUUACUAGUUUUGUUGCUUUGUUAAUUUUAUGCUUGGUUUAAUUCUUUUAAAAAUCAUUAGUUUGGUCAUUCUGUUAAUUUAAUAUUUAGUUUAGUUUUAAAAAAAAUAUUAGUUUGGUUUCUUUCUUAUUGUGCUUAGUUUAGUUUCUUUUAAAAAUCAUUAGUUUGGUCAUUCUGUUAAUUUAAUAUUUAGUUUAGUUUUAAAAAAAAUAUUAGUUUGGUUUCUUUCUUAUUGUGCUUAGUUUAGUUUCUUUUAAAAAUCAUUAGUUUGGUUGUUCAAUUGAUCACAUAUUUAUUUUAAUUUUCAAAGAUUAUUAGUUUGGUUGCUUUGUUUAUAUUAUUAUAGACCCUUGAUUUUGUCCCCUAACCACAUUCCUUAGUGCUCUUUUAGUUCUCCAUAAUAGUUCCUUUGUGGCCCAUUGAUACAACUUAUCUUUUUGAGACACCAUAAAGACUCUGGUCGAGGGAUUAAUCUAGCCUCUCAUUAUGAUCCUUGGCAACUGUAAGUUAGAUGUAGGAUUUUCCUUUUAUCUUUUUAGAAUAGCUCAUUUAGGUACACUUUUAGGUCACUUAGGCACUUUUCUGAUCACCUUAGGUCACUUAGGCAUCUUUCAAGCUCACUUAGGUUCAUUUAGGCACACCUAAUCCAUUAGGCACCAUCCUAGGCCCAUCAAAGCUCCCUUAGGCCCACUUAGGCUCACCUUGACUCAUUUAAAUUAACCUAUACCCACUUAGGUUCACCUAGGCCCACUCUAGUUCACAUAGUCCUGUUUUGGUUCAUCUAGGCCAACUUAGGGACACCUAGCCCACCUAGGCCUACCUAGGCACACCUAGCCCACUCAGGUUCACUCGGCCCACUUAGGUUCCUCUAAGCCACUUAGAUUUACUUAGACCCACUUAGGUUCACCCAAACCCCACCUUAAGUACAUUUAGGUCAUUUUUUAGGUAAUUCUUACAUGAUUGCAUGUUCUUGUUUUUUUUUUUUUUUGUUUAUUAUUUAUUUAUUUAUUUUAGGAAAUUGUUUGUGGUUAAUGAUUUUAAGUCUCUUUAAGUUGAAUGAAAUAAUAUUCCAUUCUUCUCAAAAUUGCAUGUGAUUGACUUUUAAUUUUUUUAAUCACAUAAUUUUAAUAUUUUUAAUUUUCAAUUUCGUGAUUUUUAUUGAUUCUAACCCUCAUUCUUUUUUGGUUUGUUUUGCAUGGGAUUUUGAGUACCCCAUCCAUAUUGAAGGAAGAUAUUCACAAGAUUUUUUGUUUUUUGUUUUUUUGUUUUGGAAGUAUGGAGCAAUGUUCUGGAAAGAAAAAUCAAGUUCAUUUUAGGGGAAAGAUUCGGUAUGUUUUUUAGAUGGAACGAUGGUUGGUCAAAGGGAGGACUUUUGGAGCAUGUUUUGGGAAGGAGUUGGGUUCACAUUCUGGAGGAUUCUAAGCACAUUUUGGCGGAAUUUCGAGGGCUAAGCCAUGGAUAAGGAAGGUUAAGCAUUUUUUGGAAAGAGGGAUUGCUACGUUUUGGAGAAGAAUGGGGGGGGUAGCAACACCAAAAAUCUCAAGGACAACUUAUCCAUUGGGCUUUGGGGAGAAGUUAUAUCCUCUUCAAGAACAAUAGCCAAGGGCAACUCAGAAAGUAAAAGCCUACACAUAGUCCACUACGGGAGGGGUUGCAAAAGUCCUCAUAUAGACGUCAUUCUCCAUAGAGAAGCACCGACACGCAGCAGCCUGAAAAGGGAGACAAUCGAUCAUGAGACUCCUUGAGAGGGUGAAUAACGAACUAUAAGAGGGGCCUUCUCUUACAUGCGAAUUCAAGUUUCUUCACAGCCACCCUCACGACUGCACAGUUUGCAUCAUGAGAGAUCCCUCUUAGCAUCACACACCAAGGAAACAUACUAUCAAUUCAGGAAGCAUCACAACACACCAUUGGAGAAGUUGGAGUCCACUAAUCAUGGUUGUAAGAGGCACGCACAAAAGAGGCAACCACACACCACAAUUUGGGCGGCAUCUCCGAUAAGAAGCAGCAGCAUGGGACUCCAUUGGAGAGAAUUCUCCACACACGGUCACAUAAAGGUUGCCAUACACAGUUGAAAAGAUAUCCAUAGGAUGUACCAUAAGAUGGUGGUUGUAGCCACACGUUGGACUUAAGAAAAGCGGUUGUCACUUUCAAUACACCAUAAGGGAGAAAAGAUUCACACACGCAACAAUGGGAAGGUAAGUUGAUUUUUUUUUUUUUAGUUUGGUUUUUUAUUAAUUAUAUAUGUUUGAAAAGUUAUUAUUUUUUAGUUUGGUUUUGAUUAAUUAUGUAUAUUUAUAUUGAAAGGUAUGAUUUUUUUUUUUUGUUUAGUUUUUAAUUCAUCAUAUUAUAUUGAAAGGUUUUAAUUUCUUUAGUUUAGUUUUUUUAGUUCAUUAUAUUAUAUUAAAAAGUUAGAAUUGUUUUUAGUUUCCUUUUUAUUUAUUGUAUCAUAUCGAAAGGUUAUAAUUUUUUUAUUAUCAUUAUAGUUCACUAGAUUAAUUGUUUUGUAGGAUAAAAUUUUUAUUUUGAAGCUUGUGCCAUGUUAGUUUAUUUCGUUUAAGUUAAUUCAAAAGUUUUAUAGUUUUAAUUAAUUAGUUUAAUUCGUUUGAUUGAUUUGAUGUCAUGAUGUUUUAUCUUACAAAGUUUGAUAAUUGUAGUACUUAAUCAUCUUGUUUUAGGUUUUGUGUUAUUAGGUUAUUUACCAUGCAAUUAAAAUUUUAUCUUGUAAAGUUGGAUAAUUUCAGUGCUUAAUCAUCUUGUUUUAGGUUUUGUGUUAUUAAAUUUUUUUCUCUAUGCUAUUUAAAGUUCUCAUUUUUAGUAAUUUGGUAGUUCUUUGGUUUAGAUUUUCUUGUUAUACAUGUCUUUGAUUGUGUUAUUAUAUUUAAAGUUCUUGUCUUUAGAAAUUUGGUAGCUAAGAGUUUUUAGAUUUUCUAGUUAUUAUGCAUGCCUUUGAUUGCAUUAUUAUAUUUAAAAUUUGCAUAUUUAGAAAUUCGGUAGUUCUUAGGUUUUAGAUUUUCUUGUUAUUAUGCAUGUCUUUGAUUGCACUAUGUUAUUAAAUUCUCAUAUUUGGAAGAUUGUUGAUUCUUAGGUCUUAAAUUUGCUUGUUAUUAUAUUUGUAAUUUGAUGAUUAUUUUUAUUGAAUGUUUCAUCCUUAGAAGAUUGGUAUUUUUUAGGUUCUAGAUCUUUUGGUUUUAUUUCAUGCUAUUAAAAAAAGUCUUGAUUUUUAUUUUUGAAAGCAUAUUGGUUUGAUGGAAUCCUUAUAUGAAAGAUUUUUUCACAACUCAUCCUUGUUGUCGGUUUCCACUCACCUAAUAACCAUUUGGAUUUAAAAUUCGUUUUGAUAAUUUAGAGUACUUUUCAAAAAAUUUCCAAAAAAUUUAUGAUAUUCAUUACUUCUUGAACUUGAUUUUGGAAUAUUAUUCGAGUAAAAAAGAUUUUCUUGAAGUCAAAAUUAUGACAAUCUCUUUCAGCAUGUUUUGUUUAGGCUUACUUCUAUACACUUGAGAGCACUUUACAAAAUUAAAUUACUUUUUGAUAUUUUGAAUUUAAAUAAAUAUUUUCCUCAAAUUUUUUACUUCUUAAAAUUGAAUUUUGAGAUAUUAUUAAAAAAAAUAUGUUCUCUUGAGAGAGAUAUGAUUUUUCAAAUUUGUGCCUACUGCACAUGACUUUUUUUGGAUAGUUGAUAAGUUUGAGUGUUUUAAAAAUACUUUCUAGGGCUCUCUAGUCUUGGAUUUAUUUAUUAUUAUUAUUUUUUUGUAAACUAAACAACUUAAAGGACAUGUAUGAUUUUUUUUUUUUUUUAUGAUUUUAGGAGACUAAUUACUACUCAAAAACCACACAUUUUAGAUAAUAAUUCUCAUGAGUUUCAUACAUUUUGAGCAGUAAUUAUGCCUAAUAUACCCAAGUAAUACAUUGCUGCUACCCUUACAAGAUAUACUAAUGGUUUUUGUGAAGUUUUGGAGAUAUUUCAAGGUGAUUUUUAAAGUAUUGAGUGACAAAAGAGAAAUGGAAUCGAGGAAGGUAAACAAUAUGGAUGAUGAGGAAGAAGCAAUGCUUGGACCAAGAUUUGGAGCUGAAUUGAAGGUGGUUGAGGUGGAUUCAAAAGAAAGAAAUGGGAGAAAUGACAAAAAGGAGUUGAAAAACUAUGUUUUUCCAUUUCGUAUGAUCAUGCGAAAGUUUCGCAUAGUUAUGCAAAAUGGACCAGAAAACAAUUUUGGCUGCAACUCAAAGGGAAAACUAAAAACUGAUUUCGCAUGACCAUGCAAAAAUUUCACACAGUCAUGCGAAAUGCUCCAGGAAUACGAAAUUGGUGUUGAUGCAUUUUCCACUUUGCACAAUCGUGCGAAAUUGUUGGAGCUUGUGUGAAAUUGCAUUUUUCCAGAUUUCUUGGUGAAGAAGCCUCUGAAAGACCUCUUGGAUGAUGCCAAGUGUCCACUUGAACUUGACCUAUAAAUAGAAACUUGAUUUACUCAUUUGGGGGACUUUUAGACAUUUUCUAAUUGUAGAACUUUCCAGAUUUUCUCUUUCUAUAGAAUUCUCUAUUUUCCUUCAUUUUCUCUCAUUUUCUCGGUAGUUUUGAGACCAAAUCUCCAAGCAUGAGUGGCUAAAUCUUGUUUUUCUCGAAGGAGCAAGAUCUAUGGUGAAUUAGAGAAAUGAGCUUGAAUUGCAAAGGUAAUUUGAUCCAAUUGAUUGAUUAAUUCAAAUCAUAUAUUCAAUUUAUCUUAAAUUAUCUUCCAAUGAUUACUACAAUGCAGACUAGUUAGAUUCAUCAAAUUCUUAAUGCUAGAUUUAAUGAGAUUAAAUAGUUGCAUUGUGUGAAUCUUUGGAAGAUAAUUUAAGAUGAAUUGAAUAUAUGAUUUGGAUUGAUCUCUUGGAUUAAAUGACCUAAUUUGAAGAGAAAUUAAAUCUAAAUCUAAAGCUAAAUCAAAAAUCAGUUUAGAUGAAAAUUUAGGUUUUUAAUCUAACUUGAUGAAAACUGGAUCUCAACAUCUAUUCACCAUGAAAAUUGUUUUCUAGAAAAUCCUAACUCCAAGAAUUUCAUUUUCUAUUAGUUUUCUUCUAUAUUUACAUUUCAUUUUCCUCUCAAUUUGAAAUCAUUGUUAGUUUGAACUUUUAUCAUGAAUUGUCAUAUCAUUUUCACUUGAUCACAACCAUUCCUUCUUCUCUCAUUCAAGCCUUGAUUACCAAGAAUAAUCCAUCGUUGUGGACAAUACCUAAAAACCAUUAUACUACAGUAGUAUGUAUUAAAACCACUUUUUGAUCAUGUACAACCUGCUAUAGAGUAGUGAAUUUGGUUAUAAAUUUUGUUUUGAUCAAUAAACGAUGAAAAAACCAAACGAUCAAAGACCUUUAAAUAUUUUUACAAAUUCAGUUUAUGCAUGUCACCAUUUUCUACCUAGUUUUGGACCUUCUGGAACUUUUGGGUGUUUUUGCUUAAAUUUGUUAUUUGAAUGAGUGUUUGAGUUUUUUAUGUUAUUCCAGAAGUGUAGGAGAUGUUUCCUGAAAAUUUAUGUAAUUAAAUUCCACUUCAAGAUUUUUUUUUAGGAUUUGUUUUAUGAUGCUUCCUGUUCUAAUUGCAUGCUAACGAUCUUACACUUUACUUAACUAUGCUAUUUUUUUGGAGUUAUUUGACUUAUCUUGGCAUGACUUUGGUUAUUGUAUCAUGAUAUAGACUAAAUUGAGAAGUUUGUCUUUAUUUUUCAUGAUCAAUUGAUGUUCCUAUAUAUUAAUUUAUAUUUUUUCUUUUGAUAAUAGUGUGCUACCUGUUUUAACCAUAACCCUUGAUUUUUUUUUCUCCUAUUUUGGGAGUUAUAUACAUGACUUGUCUAAUAAUUGGUGUUUUCUUAUACUUUGGUCAUUUCUGUUGUGAUAUUUAAAUACCAUGCAUGCUAGGAUUUCUUUUCUUUAACGUCUGUUAUUAUAACUUUGAUCUAACCUCCAAUGUCUUGUGGAAGCGCAUUGUUAUUUGGGUACGCUUCUUAUCUUUGCAUCUUAAUUCCAUUAGUUAUGUAAAGCUUCAUACAUGAUCAUUAUCAUGCUUAAUAUAUAUUUUUGAUUGCUUGUUUGACUCACCAUGUUAGAUUUCUUGACUAUGGUAAAAUACACGUGUGUGUGUGUGUGUGUUUUAAACUAAAUUUGAUAUCUUAUGACAACGCUUAAGUUGUAGCUCAAGUACGCCUAUCUUCCUUACUCAUGUGAUUGAUUACUUAGAUAUAUUUGUUUGAAUAUGAAUAACAAUCUAGCCAAUAGAGACCACUUUAAGGCUUAGAGGGGUGCUACCUCUUUGAGGUACCUUUCUGAUAGGUAACCUAAUCCUCUCUGCCCUAGACUCAGUUUUUUCAAAUACAGGGUUUUCCAAAACUUAAGGAGUCAUUUUUCUUAGGUGAGUCCAGAAAUUGGUGACCCCAUUGAGGAUUUUUGAAGAUCAAGCUUGAACACUACUUGAGGAAAAUAUGGUGUUUAAUUGGUUGAUUUAGUUUUGAACACUACUUUAGGCAAGGUGAUUCAGUUUGCUUAAUUGUUUGUGAUUUAGUUAAAGAAAAGAGAUUUUUUUUAGAAUUGAUAUUUUGAGUUAAGCUUAAUCGUUUUGUCUUGGAAACCAUUGUAGGUUCUAUUUAAGUUUAUUCUUUGGUCCUUUCGUUUCUCAUCAUUAGGACACAAUUCUAGGUUCUAUCUAACCUUAUUCGUUUGUUUUUUUGGUUUCUCAUCAUUGGCUCACAAUUCUAGGUUCUAUUUAAGUUUAUUCUUUGUUCCUUUGCUUUCUCAUCAUUGGAACUCCAUCAUAACUUCUAUAUAAGUUUAUUCUUAGUUCCAUUCAUUUAUCAUCAUUGGGACACAAUAUUAGGUACUAUCUAAGAAUAUUCAUUUUUUCCCCUUGGUUUCUUAUCAUUGGAAUGCUGUCCUAGGUUCUAUCUAAGUUUAAUUGUUUGUUCCUUUGGUUUCUCAUCUUUAGGACACCAUCCUAGGCUCUAUCUAAGUUUCUUCUUUCUUCAUUUAGUUUCUCAUCAUUAGGACACCAUCCUAGGUUUUGUCCUACUUCAUUCUUUUUCAUUUCAUUUCUCAUCAAUGGGAUACCAUUCUAGGUUCUCUCUAAGCUUAAUCAUUUGUUCCUUUGGUUUCUCAUCAAUGGGACAUCAUCCUAAGUUCUAAGUAUCUUCUUUGUUCCUUUAGUUUCUCAUCAUGGGGACACCAUCCUAGAUUCUAUCUAAGCUUAAUCAUUUGGUCCUUUGGAUUCUUUUCAUUGGGACAACAUCAUAGGUUCUAUCGAAGUUUACUCUUUGGUCCUUUUACUUCUCAUCAUUAGGACGUCAUCCUAUGUUCUAUAUAACCUUAUUUGUUUGUUCCUUUAGUUUCUCAUCAUUGGUUCACCAUCUUAGGUUCUAUCUUGGUUUAUUCUUAUGCCUUCACAUCAUUGGGACACCAUUUUAGGUUCUUUCUAAAUUUAUUCUUAAUUCCAUUGAUUUAUCAUCAUUAGGAUGCCAUCCUAGGUACUACCUAAGAUUAUUUGUUUUUUCCUAUGGUUUUUUUAUCAUUAGGACACCAUCCUUGGUUCUAUCUAAGCUUAAUUGUUUGUUCAUUUGGUUACUUAUCAUUGGGACACAUCCCUAUAUUCUAUUUCAAUUUAAAGGUUCAUUUGGUUUCUUAUCAUUGGGACACAUCCCUAGAUUCUAUUUCAAUUUAUUCUUUGUUCAUUUGGUUUCUAAUCAUUGGAAAACCAUCCUAGCUUCUAUCUCAGUUUAUUCUUUAUUUAUUUGGUUUCUCAUCAUUAGGAUGUCAUCACAGGUUCUAUCUAAACUUAAUCGUUUGUUCCUUUGGUUUCUCAUCAUUGGGACACCAUCCUAGGUUCUUCUUUGUUCCUUUGCUUUCUCAUCAUUGGAACUCCAUCAUAACUUCUAUAUAAGUUUAUUCUUAGUUCCAUUCAUUUAUCAUCAUUGGGACACAAUCUUAGGUACUAUCUAAAAAUAUUCGUUUUUUCCCCUUGGUUUCUUAUCAUUGGAAUGCCGUCCUAGGUUCUAUCUAAGUUUAAUUGUUUGUUCCUUUGGUUUCUCAUCUUUAGGACACCAUCCUAGGCUCUAAGUUUCUUUCUUCAUUUAGUUUCUCAUCAUUAGGUCACCAUCCUAGGUUUUGUCCUACUUCAUUCUUUUUCAUUUCAUUUCUCAUCAAUGGGAUACCAUUCUAGGUUCUCUCUAAGCUUAAUCAUUUGUUCCUUUGGUUUCUCAUCAAUGGGACAUCAUCCUAAGUUCUAAGUAUCUUCUUUGUUCCUUUAGUUUCUCAUCAUGGGGACACCAUCCUAGAUUCUAUCUAAGCUUAAUCAUUUGGUCCUUUGGAUUCUUUUCAUUGGGACAACAUCAUAGGUUCUAUCUAAGCUUAAUUGUUUGUUCCUUUGGUUUCUCAUCAUUGGGACACCAUCCUAGGUUCUUCUUUGUUCAUUUGGUUUCUCAUCAUUAGGACACCAUCCCAAGUUCUACCUAAGCUUAAUCGUUUGUUCCUUUGGUUUCUCAACAUUGGGACACAAUCUAAGGUUCUAUCUCAUUUUAUUUUUUGUUCAUUUCGUUUCUCCUCAUUAGGAUGCCAUCCUAGGUACUACCUAAGAUUAUUAGUUUUUUCCUCUGGUUUUUUAUCAUUAGGACACCAUCCUUGGUUCUAUCUAAGCUUAAUUGUUUGUUCAUUUGGUUUCUUAUCAUUGGGACACAUCCUUAGAUUCUAUUUCAAUUUAAAGGUUCAUUUGGUUUCUUAUCAUUGGGACACAUCCCUAGAUUCUAUUUCAAUUUAUCCUUUGUUCAUUUGGUUUCUCAUCAUUGGAAAACCAUCCUAGGUUCUAUCUCAAUUUAUUCUUUAUUUAUUUGGUUUCUCAUCAUUAGGACGUCAUCAUAGGUUCUAUCUAAACUUAAUAAUUUGUUCCUUUGGUUUCUCAUCAUUGGGACACCAUCCUAGGUUCUUCUUUGUUCAUUUGGUUUCUCAUCAUUAGGACACCAUCCCAAGUUCUACCUAAGCUUAAUUGUUUGUUCCUUUGUUUUCUCAACAUUGGGACACAAUCUAAGGUUCUAUCUCAUUUUGUUUUUUGUUCAUUUCGUUUCUCCUCAUUUGGGUGUCGUCCUAGGUUCCAUCCAAAACUUAAUCAUUUGUUCGCUUAGUUUCUCAUCAUUGGGACACCAUCCUAGGUUAUAUCUAACCUUAAUCGUUUGUUCCUUUGGUUUCUCAACAUUGGGACACAAUCUAAGGUUCUAUCUCAUUUUAUUUUUUGUUCAUUUCGUUUCUCCUCAUUUGGGUGUCGUCCUAGGUUCUAUCCAAAACUUAAUCAUUUGUUCGCUUAGUUUCUCAUCAUUGGGACACCAUCCUAGGUUCUAUCUAACCUUAAUCGUUUGUUCCUUUGGUUUCUCAUCAUAUGGACACCAUCCUAGGUUCUACUCUUAAUUUAUUCUUCAUUCCUUUGGUUUCUCAUAAUUGGAAUGUCAUCCUAUAUUCCAUCUAACCUUAAUUGUUUAUUCCUUCGCUUUUGCAUCAAUGCGACACCAUCCUAAGUUCGAUCUCAAUUUCUUCUUUGUUCAUUUGGUUUCUCAUCAUUAAGACGUCAUUCUAGGUUAUGUCUAAGCUUAAUUGAUUGUUCCUUUGGUUUCUCGACAUUGGGAAACAAUCCAAGGUUCAAUCUUAUUUUAUUCUUUGUUCAUUUCAUUUCUCAUCAUUAGGACAUCAUCCUAGGUUCCAUCUAAGCUUAAUCGUUUGUUCGUUUAGUUUCUCAUCAUUGGGACACCAUCCUAGGUUCUAUCUAAGCUUAAUAGUUUGUUCCUUUGUUUCUCAUCAUUAGGAUGCCAUCCUAUGUUCUAUCUAACCUUAAUCGUUUCUUCCUUUGCUUUCGCAUCGAUGAGACCCCAUCCUAGGUAUUAUCUCAGUUUAUUCAUUAUUCAUUUGGAUUCUCAUCAUUUGAACACAAUUCUAGGACCUUUCCAAACCUAAUCAUUUCUUUCUUUUGUUUCUUAUUAAUUGGGACACAACCCUAGGUUCUAUCUCAGUUUCCUCUUUGUUCCUUUGGUUUCUCAUCAUUGGGACACCAUCCUAGGUUCUUCAUUUAUCCUUUGUUCCUUGGGUUUCUCAUCAUUUGGAUGCCAUCCUAUGUUCUAUCUAACCAUAAUCGCUUCUUCCUUUGCUUUCGCAUUAAUGCGACACCAUUAUGGGUUCUGUCUUAGUUUAUUCUUUAUUCCUUUGGUUUCUCAUCAUUGGGAUGCUAUCCAAGGUUCUGUUUAAAUUUAAUCGUUUAUUCCUUUGGUUUCUCCUCAUUGGGAAACAAUCCUAGGUUCAAUCUCAUUUUAUUCUUUGUUCAUUUCGUUCACCAUCAUUGGGAUGCCAUCCUAGGUCUUUCUAAGCUUAAUCGUUUGUUCAUUUUGGUUUCUCAUCAUUGGGACACCAUCCUAGGUUUUAUGUAAGCUUAAUUGUUUGUUCCUUUGGUUUCUCAUCACUAGGACAGCAUCCUAAGUUCUAAGUUUCUUCUUAUUUCCUUUGGUUUGUCAAAAUGCGGACGCCAUCCUAGGUUCUAUGUUAGUUUAUUCUUUGUUCAUUUUGUUUCUAUGGAAUGCCAUCCUAGAUUCUAUGUAAGUUUAAUUGUUUGAUCAUUUCGAUUCUUGUCAUUGGGACACAAUCGUAGCUUCUAUCUAAGUUUAUUCUUUGGUCCUUUCAUUUUUCAUCAUUAGGACGCCAUCCAAGGUUCUAUCUAACCUUAUUCGUUUGUUCCUUUGGUUUCUCAUCAUUGGGUCGCCAACCUAGCUUCUAUCUUUGUUUAUUCUCAAUUCAUUUGCUUUCUCAUCAUUGGGGCACCAUUUUAGGUUUUAUCUAUUUUUAUGUUUAUUUCCAUUGAUUUAUAAUCAUCGAGACUCCAUUCUUGGUACUACAUAAGAUUAUUCAUUUUUUUCCUUUGUUUUCUGAUCGUUGGAAUGUCAUCCAAGGUUCUAUCUAAGCUUAAUUUGGACGCCAAAGUAGCAAAGAAUAAAAUAAGAUAGAACCUAGGUCGGCCUUCCAAAAACGAGAAACCAAAGGACCAAAUAAGUAAGUUUAGAUUGAACCUAGCAUAGCAUCCCAUGGAUGAGAAACAAAAGGAACAAAGAAUAAACUGAGAUAGAACCUAGGAUGGCGUCCCAAUGAUGAGAAACCAAAGCAACGAAAAAUGUUUAGAUAGAACCUAGUUAUGCAUUCCAAUGACGAGAAACGAAAUGAACAAAUAAUAAACAAAGAUAGAAGCUCUGAUGGUGUCCAAAUAAUGAUAAACAAAAGUAACAAAGAGGAAACUUAGAUAGAACCUAAAUGUGAUGAUGAGAAAUUAAGGAGGAAAUAAGAAACUUAGAUUUGACUCAGAUGCAGUCCUAUUGAUGAGAAACGAAAGGAACUAACGUUUAAACUUAGAUAACGUAGGAUGGGGUCCCAAUAAUAGGAAAACAACUCAACAAAGAAUAAAUUUAGAUAGAACCUAUGAUAGUGUCCCAAUGAUGACAAACCAAAGGAGCAAACAUCAAACUUAAAUCAAACCUAUGAUGGUGUUCCAAUGUUCAAAAACGGAAGGAAGAAACGAUUAAGGUUAGAUAAAAUCUAGGAUGGCAUCCCAAUGAAGAGAAACCAAAUAAAGAAAGAAAAAACUAAGAUAAAACCUAGGAUGGUGUAGCAAAGAUGAGAAACUAAAGGAAAAAAGAAGAGACAAACUAAAGAAAGAAAAAACUAAGAUAGAACAUAGGAUGGUGUCCCAAUGACGAGAAACAAUGAAAAACCUAGGAGGGUGUCGCAAUGAUAAGCAACCAAACAAACAAAAUAUUAAGCUUAUAUUGAACCUAUGAUGUCUUUCAAAUGAUAUAUGAAACCAAAUGAACAAAGAAAAAACUUCGGACAGAGUCCCAAUGAUUAGAAACAAACAUAACAAAAAAGAUACUUAGAACCUAGAAUGACAUCCCAAUAAUUAGAACCAAAUCAACAAAUAAUAAACUGAGAAUGAACAUAGGAUUGUGUCAGAAUGAUUAGAAAGCAAAGAAACAAACGCUUAAGCUUAAAUAGAACCUAGGAUAGCUUUCCACAGAUCAAAAACCAAAUGAACAAAGAAUAAACUGAGAUAGAAACCAGAAUGGUUUCCCAAUGAUGAGAAACAAAUGAAAUAAAGAAACUUAGAUACAUCUUAGGAUGGUGUCCCAAUGAUGAAAAACCAAAUGAUCAAAGAAUAAAUCGAGAUAUAACCUAUGAUGGUGUCCCAAAUGACAAGAAAACAAAGGAGCAUACGAUUAGGUGCAGAAAGAACCUAGGAUGGAGUCCCAACGAUGACAAACCAAUGGAAAAAACAAUUAAGUUGAAAUAAAACCUAGGAUAGUGUUCCACUGAUCAGAAACCAAAUGAGCAAAGAAUAAACAGAAACGGAAAGUAAAAUGAUGUCCCAAUUAUGAGAAUCGAAAGUAACAAAUAAGAAACUUGGAUACAACUUAGGACGGUACCCAAUGCUAAGAACCCAAAUAAACAAAAAUGAAUUGAGAUAGAACCUAAGAUGGUGUCCCAAUGAUAGGAAACCAAAGGACAAAUUGAUUAAAUUAAGAAAGAACCUAGGAAGGCAUCCCAAUAUUGAGAAAUCAAAGGAACAAACGACUAUGUUUAGAUAGAACCUAGUUACACAUCCCAGUGAUGAUAAACAAAAUGAACAAAGAAUAAACAAAGAUAGAACCUAUGAUGGUGUCCCAAUGAUGAGAAAUAAAGUAACAAAGAAGAAACUUAGAUAAAACAUGGGAACCAAUCCCAAGGAAGAAAAAAGAAACUUAGAUUCAGCCUAAGAUGAGUAACAAAAGGAACUAACACUUAAGCUAAGAUAGAACCAAGGAUGGGGUCCCAAUCAUAAUAGAACCUAGGAUAGUGUCCCAGUGAUUUGAAACCAAAGGAACAAACAUCAAACUUAAAUCAAACCUAUGAUCGUGUCCCAAUGUUGAGAAAGUAAAGGAACAAACAAUUAAGGAUAAUUAGAAACUAGAAUGGUGUCCCAAUGAUGAGAAACAAAAAAGAAACUCAUAUAGAACUUAGGAUGACGUCCAAAUAAUUAAAAACUAGAUGAACAAAGAAUAAAUUGAGAAAGAGCCUAAGAUGAUGUCCCAAUGAUGAGAAACCUAAGGAACAAACGAUUAAGCUUAGAGAGAACCUUGGAUAGCGUUCCAUUGAUCAGAAACCAAAUGAAUAAAGACUAAACUGAUAUAGAAACUAGAAUGGUGUCCUAAUGAUAAAAAAACAAAAGUAGUAAAGAAGAAACAUGGAUACAACCUAGAAUGGUGUUCCAAUGAUGAGAAACCAAAUGAACAAAGAAUAAACUGAGAUAAAAUAUUGGAUGGUGUCCCAAUGACAAGAAACCAAAUGAACAAACAAUUAUCUUUAGAUAGAACCUAGUUUUGCACCCCAAUAAUGAGAGACGAAAUGAAUAAAGAAUAACUUGUGAUAAAACAUAUGAUGGUGUCCCAAUGAUUAGAAACCAAAGGAACAAAGAAGAAACUUCGAUUCACCCUACGAUGCAGUCCUAUUGAUGAGAACGAAAGGAACUAACGUUUUAGCUUUAGAUAGAACUUAGGAUGGCAUCCCAAUAAUGUGAAAGUAAAUAAAAAAUGAAUAAUAUUAGAUGGAACUUAGGACAUUGUCCCAAAUAUGAGAAACCAAAGGAAUAAGCAUCAAACUAAAAUCAAACCAAUGAUGGUGUCCUAAUAUUAAGUAAUUGAAGAAACAAAUGAUGAAGGUUAGAUAGAACCAAGGAUGACGCCCCAAUGACGAAAAACCAAACAAAGAAAUAAUAAACUAAGAUAGAACAUAGGAUGCUAUCCCAAUGAUGAGAAACCAAAGGAACAAAGAAGAAACCUAAAUAGAAGCAAGGAGGGUGUCACAAUGAUGAGAAACCAAACGAACAAACAAUUAAACUAAUAAAAAACAUAGGAUGAGAAACCAAUGGAACAAACGAUUAAGCUUAAAUAGAAUCUAGGAUAGCAUUCCACUUAUUAGAUAGAACCUAGCUUUGCCUCCGAAUGAUUUGAAAUGAAAUAAACUGAGGUACAACCUAUGAUGUUGUCCCAAUGAUGAAAAACAAAAGUAACAAAGAAGAAACUUAAAUUAAACCUAGGAUGAUCUCCCAAUGUUCAGAAAUUGAGGGAGCAGAGGAUCAAAGUUUGAUAGAACCUAGGAUGGUGUCCCAAUGAUGAGAAACUAGAUGAAAAAAGAAAAAAAGCUGAGAUAGAACUUAGGAUGGUUUGCCAAUUAUGAGAAACUAAAGGAAAAGGAGAGAAAAACAUAUAGAAAUUAGGUUGGUGUCCAAAUGAUAAGAAACCAAUGGAACAAACGAUCAAGUUUAAAUAGAACCUAGGAUAGCGUUCAACUGAUCAAAGAAUAAAUGAAAUAGAAACUAGAAUGGGGUCCCAAUGAUGAGAAACUUCGAUACAACGGAGGAUGGUGUCCCAAUGAUGAGAAACCAAAUGAAUAGAGAAUCAAUUGAGUUAGAACCUUGGAUGGUGUCCCAAUGAUAAGAAACCAAUGGAACAAAAGAUUAUGUUUAGAUAGAACCUAGUUUUUCCUCCAAAAGAUGAGAAACAAAAUGAACAAAGAAUAAGCUGAGGUAGAACUUAUGAUGUUGUCCCGAUGAUAACAAAAGUAAUAAAGAAGAAACUUACAUAGAACCUGUGAUGGUGUCCCAAUGAUAAAAAAAACCAAAUGAUGGGAGAAGAAGCUUAGAUUUAAUCUAGGAUGCAGCCCUAUUGAUUAGAAACGAAAGGAACUAACAUUUAAGCUUAGAUAGAACCUAUGAUGGUGUCCCAAUGAUAGAAAAGCAAAUAAACAAAAAAUAAACUUAGAUAGAACCUGGGAUAUUGUCCCAAUGAUAAGAAACCAAAGGAACAAACAUCAAACUUAAAUUAAACCUAGGAUGGUCUCCCAAUGAUGAGAAACCAAAUGAAGAAAGCAAAUAUAUAUAUAUAUAUAUAUAUAUAUAUAUAUAUAAUCUAGGAUGGUGUGCCAAUUAUGAGAAAUUAAAGGAAAAGGAAACAAACUCAAAUGGAAAUUAGGCUGGCGUCCAAAUGAUAAGAAAUCAGUGGAACAAAUGAUUAAGUUUAAAUAGCACCUAGGAUAGUUAGACACAAAAUGAACAAAGAAUAAAAUGAAAUAGAAACUAGAAUGGGGUCCCAAUGAUGAGAAACAAAUAAGAAACUUAGAUACAACCAAGGAUGCUAUCCCUAUGAUGAGAAACCAAAUGAAUAAAUAAUCAAUUGAAUUAGAACCUUCGAUGGUAUGAGAAACCAAAUGAACAAAUAAUCAACUGAAUUAGAACCUUCAAUGGUAUCCUUAUGAUGAGAAACCAAAUGAAUAUAGAAUCAAUUGAGUUAGAACCUUGGAUGGUGUCCCAUUGAUGAGAAGCAACAGAACAAACGAUUGAAUUUAUAAAGAACCUAGGAUGGUGUCCCAAUGAAACAAAUAAUUAUGCUUAGACAAAACCUAGUUUUUCCUUUGAAUGAUGAGAUGCAAAAUGAACAAAGAAGAAACUUACAUAGAACCUAUGAUGGUGUCCGAAUGAUGAGAAACAAAAUGAAGAGAGAAUAACUUAGAUUCAAUCUAGAAUCCAGUUCUAUUGAUGAGAAAUGAAAGGAACUAACAUUUAACCUUAGAUAAAACCUAUGAUGCGAUCCCAAUGAUGGGAAAGCAAAUAAACAAGGAAUAAACUUAUAUAUAAACUAGGGUAUUUGUCCCAAUGAUGAAAAUCAAAGGAACAAACAUCAAACCUAAAUUAAACAUAGGAUGGUCCCCCAAUGUUUAGUAACUGAAGGAAUUAACGAUUAAGGUUGAGUAGAACCUAGGAUGGUGUCCCAAUGAUGCGAAACCAGAUGAAGAAAGGAAAAAUUGAGAUAAAAUUUAGGAUGAAGAAAGGAAAAGGAGAGAAAUACGGAUAGCAAUUAGGUCAGUGUGCCAAUGAUAAGAGACCAAUGGAACAAACAAUUAAGCUUAAAUAGACCUAGGAUAGCAUUCCACUAAUCAAAUACAAUAUGAACAAAGAAUAAAAUGAAAUAGAAGCUUGAAUGGUUCCCCAAUGAUUAGAAACCAAUUGAAUAAAGAAAAGAGUUACAACCUUGGAUGGUGUCCUAUUGACGAGAAACAUAGGAACAAACUAUUAAGUUUAUAAAAAAAACUUACAAUAGUGUCCCAAUGAUGAUAAACCAAUGGAACAAAAGAUUAAUUAUUCCUCUAAACAAGGAGAAACGAAAUGAACAAAGAAUAAAUUGAGAAAAAAAAAGUAAAAAAGAAGAAACUUACAUCAGAACCUAGGAUGGUAUCCCAAUGAUGGGAAAGUAAAUAAACAAAGAAUAAACAUAGAUAGAAAAACCUAGGAUAUUGUCCCAAUUAUAAGAAACCAAAGGAACAAACAUCAAACUUAAAUUAAACCUAGUAUGGCCUCCCAAUGUUCAAAAACCAAAGGAACAAAUGAUUAAAGUUGGAUAGAACCAAGGAUGGUGUCCCAAUGAUGAGAAACCAGAUGAAGAAAGAAAAAAACUAAGAUGGAACCUAGGAUGACAUGCCAAUUAUGAGAAACUAAACUAAAAGGAAAGAAACACACAGAAAUUAGGCUAGCAUCCAGAUGAUAAGAAACCAAUGGAACAAACGAUUAAGCUUAAAUAGAAUCUAGGAUACUAUUCCACAUAUCAUACAAAGCAUGAACUAAGAAUAGAAUGAAAUAGGAAUUAGAAUGGUGUCCCAAUGAUGAGAAACAGAAGUAACAAAUAAGAAACUUAGAUACAACAUCUGAGGGCAUUCCAAUGAUGGGAAACCAAAUGAAUAAAAAGAAUAAACUGAGGUAGUAGAACCUUUGAUGGUGCCCAAUGAUGAGAAAAAAAGGAACAAAAGAUUAAGUUUAGAAACAACCUAGGAUGGCGUCCCAACAAUGAGAAACAAAAUGAACAAAGAAUAAACUGAGCUAGAACAUAUGAUGUUGUCCCAAUGAUGGGAAACCAAACUAAUAAACAAGAAACUUACAUAGAACCUAGGAUGGUGUCCCAAUGAUGAGGAACCAUAUGAAGAGAGAAGAAACUUAUAUUCAACCUGGAUGCAGUCCUAUUGAUGAGAAAUGAAAGGAACUAACGUUUAAGCCUAGAUAGAACCUAUGAUGGCUUCCUAAUGACGGGAAAACAAAUAAAUAAAGAAGAAACUUACAUAAAACUUAGGAUUCUAUCCCAAUGAUGAGAAACCAAAGGAACAAACAUCAAACUUAAAUUAAAACUAAGAUUGUGUCCCAUUGUUCAAAAAUUGAACGAACAAACGAUUAAGGAUAACUAAAGAAAGAGAAAACUAAGAUAGAACCUGGGAUAGUGUACCAAUGAUGAAAAACUAAAGGAAAAGGGAAGAAACAUAGAUAGUGCCUAGCAUCCUAAUGAAAAAAGAAUAAACUGAGAUAGAACAUAGGAUGAUGUCCCAAUAAUGAGAAACCAAAGUAACAAAGAAGAAACUUAAUAGAACCUAGGACGGUGUCCCAAUGUUGAGAAACCAAAUGAAGACAGAAGAAACUUAGAUUCAACCUAGGAUGCAUUCCUUUUGAUGAGAAAUGAAAGGAGCUAAUGUUUAAGCUUAGAUAGAGCCUAGGAUGGUGUCCCAAAGAUGGGAAAACAAAUAAACAAAUAAUAAACAUAGAUAGAACCUAGGAUAUUAUCCCUGUGAUGAUAAACCAAUGGAACAAACAUCAAAUGAUGGCAAUGAAAUGUUCAAAAAUCAAAGGAACAAACAAUUAAGCUUAGAAUCUAGGAUAGUAUCCAAAAGCUAAGACACCAAAUGAAGAAAGACAAAACUGAGAUAGAACCUAGGAUGGUGUACCGAUGAUGAGAAACUAAAGGAAGAAAGAAAAAACACAGAUAAAACCGAGGAUGGCAUCCUAAUGAUGACAAAACCAAACGAACAAACAGUUAAGCAUAUAUAGAACCUAUGAUGUCUUCCAAUGAUAUGAAACAAAAUGAACAAAGAAAGAACCUAGGAUGAUGUCCCAAUGAUGAGAAAGCAAAUGAACAAAUGAUUAAACCUAGGAUGGUGUCCCAAUGAUAAUAAACCAAUGGGACGUAAAAGAAACUUAUAUAGAACCUAGGAUGGUGUUCUAUUGAUGUCAAAUUAAAAGGAUGAAAGAUGAAACUUAGAUUCAACCUAGGAUUGAGUUUGAUUGAUCAGAAAAGAAAGUAAACAAUUAAGCUUAGAUAGAAUUUAGGGUGGCAUCCCAAUGAUGCAAGGGUGAAUGAAGAAAGAAUGCUCUAAGAUAGAACCUAGGUUGGUAUCCCAAUGAUGAGAAACCAAUCGAAAAAAUGAUUAAGCAUAGACAAAGCCUCUAUAGAACCUAAGAUGAGAAAUAAAAUGAACAAAGAAUAAACCAAGAAAGAACCUAAGACAGUGUCCAAUUGAUGAGAAACUAAAUUUACAAUUGAUUAAACUUAGAUACAACCUAUGAUGGCCUUCCAACUAUGAGAAACAAAAUGAAUAAAGAAUAAACUUAGAUAGAACCUAAGAUGGUGUCACAUUGAUGCAAUAGCAAAGGAAGAAAUGAUUAACGUUAGAUAGGACAUAGAAUGACAUCCCAAGGAUGAGAAACCAAAGGAAUAAAACAUAAACAUAUAUCGAACCUAGGAUGUUGUCCUAAUGAUGAGAAACUAGAGGAACAAACGAUUGAGGUUAGAUAGACCUUGGAUGGUGUCCUAAUGAUAAGAAACAAAAUGAACAAAGAAUAAAUUUAGAUAGAACCCUGGAUGGUGCCCCAAUGAUGACAAACCACAGGAAGAAACAAUGAAGUUUAGAUAGAAUCUAGGAUAGACUCACAAUUAUGAGAAAUGAAAUAAAAAAAGAUUAAGAUGAGAUAGAACUAAUUUAAGAUGGUGUCUCAAUGAUGAGAAACCAAAUGAACAAAGAAUUAAUUCGCAUGGAUUAGAAACUGAAUUAACCUAAGAUCAAAGGAUGAGAAACUGAACGAUCAAAGAAGAUACUAAUAUUGAACCUAAGAUCAUGUCCCCUUUGAUUAGAAACCAAAGGAACAAAUGAUUAAGCUCAGAUAAAACCUAGGAUGAUGUCUUCACAACGAGAAAACAAAGGAACAAAUGAUUAAGCUUAGAUAAAACCUAGGAUGAUGUCCUCACAACGAGAAAACAAAGGAACAAAAAAUAAAUUGAUAUAGAAUUUAGGAUGUUGUCCCAAUGAUGAGAAACCAAAUGAACAAAGAAUAAAUUGCGAUAGAAUGUAAGAUGGUGUCCCAAUGAACAAAAAAUUUAGUUUAGAAAGAACAUAGAAAGGUGUCCCAAUGUGAGAAUAAACUAAGAUAGAAAUCGAAGGAACAAAUAUGGAAGUUUGAUUGAACACAUGAUCGUUUCCCAACAAUGAUGAGCAACCAAAGGAACCAAUGAUUGAGCUUAGAUAGAAUCUAGUAUGUUGUCCCAAUGACAAGAAUCCAAAGGAAACUAAGCAUAAACUGAGAUCGAACCGAUGAUGGUAUCCCAAGGUUUAGAAACAAAAUUAACAAAGAAGAAACUCACAUUAAACUUAGGAUGGUGUCACAGUGAUGAAAAACCAAAUGAACAAAAAAUAAACUGAGAUAGAACGUUGCAUUAUGUCCCAACGAUGAGAAGCCAAAGGAACAAAGAAUAAAUUGAGUCUGAACCUAAGAUAGUGACCCAAUGAUGAGAAAACAAAAUAAACAAACAAUUUAGGUUAGACAAACCCUAGGAUGGUGUCCCAAUGAUGGGAAACCAAAUGAACAAAUAGAAACUUAGAUUGAACCGAGGAUUGUAUCCUAAUCAAGAGAAACCAAAGUAACAAAUGACUAAACUUAGAUAGAAUCUCUACGAUUGCAUCCCAAUGAUAGAAACCAAAGGAAUAACAAAUAAAUGAUUAAAUUUAGAAUAAGUCUAGAAUGGCGUCCCAAUGAUUAGAAAGAAAAAGAACAAAGAAUAAACCAAUAUACAACCUAAGACAGUCCAAAUGAGCAGGAAAAAAAAUGGAACAAUGACAAAACAUAGAUUCUUAGGAUGGUGUCCCAAUGAUGAGAAACCAAAGGAACAAACAACUAAACAUAGAUGGAACCUAGGAUGGUGUCCCAAUUGAAUAAUUGAUUAAGCUAAAAUAAAACUUAGGAAGGUGCCCCAAUGAUGAGAAACAAAAGCAACAAAGAAGAAACUUAAUUACAACCUAAGAUUGUCUCUAUGAUGAGAAACCAAUUGAACAAGUGAUUAAGCUAAAAUGAAACUUAGGAAGGUGUCCCAAUGAUGAGAAACCAGAACAUAGGAUGGUGUCCCAAGGAUGAGAAAGCAAAAUAACAAACCAUAAACUGAGAUAACACCUAGGAUGGUGUACCAAUGACGAGAAACCAAAGGAACAAAUGAUUAAGUUUAGACAGAACCUAUAAUUGAGUCCAAAUGAUGGGAAACAAAAGGAAUAACGAAUAAGUAGUGAUAGAACCUAGCAUGUUGUCCCAAUGAAAACAAACCAAAGAAAGAGCAACUUAUAUAAAACGUAGGAUGGUGUCCCAAUGACGACAAUCCAAAGGAACAAAGAGUACACUGACAUAGAACCUACCAUAGUGUCCCCAUCAUGAGAAAUCAAAGGAACAACGAAGAAAUAUAGACUAAGGAUGGUGUCCUAGUGAUGAGAAAGAACCGAAGCAAACAAUUAAGCUUAGACAUAACGAAAGCAAACAAUUAAUGGGAAUUUUAUGCUAUUCUAUGGUGUAUCUGAUUUCUUUCCUUGAAUCAUUUGUUGGAAUUUCAUGUUAUUUUUAUGAUUUCAUAAAAUGUGUUAAUGUGUCAUUCAAUCUCGAUUUAUUGCAUUAAAAUGUUACCAUGAUAUUGGAACGUUUAUUGGUAUGAAGAUUCAUGGUUCUGUGUUGUCAAAAUGGUUCAUGGUGUGGUUGCAUUGCAAGAAGGAUAUGGAAUUAUCACAGAUGAUAUUCAGAGUAUUGAUUGGUGGGAAGUGUUUAUGUGAUGCUACAAGCAUUAUCAUUUGAUAUAUUGUUUUGUUAACUAUAAUAGUCACAAAGUUUAAUACAGGAUGUACUCUUUAUAACAAGUUGUGCGUAUCCUCUUUUUGCACAAAAUCAAGCAGGAUCUCAGCAUUUAAAUUUUUGAGAGCACUUAUAUUGUAUUUGAGUUUCAAUUGUUUAGUUUGAAGAAUUACAAAAACCGGGGUGUGACAAUUAGUGAACCAUGGGAUUUUGGUUUAUGUAAAGUAACGUAGUACAAGUUUUUUUUUUUUUGUGAAAUGGAUCAUAUUUUGUUAACUAAGAGUUACAAAGUUUAAUAUAGGAUACUCUUUAUAACAGGUUUCCAUAUUCUCUUUUUGCACAAAAUAAAGUAAGAACUCGACAUUUAAAUUUUUGUAUCCCCAAUUUUUUGAAAGCACUUAUGUUGUUUUUGAGUAUCAAUUGUAAAAUCAAAAACUCAGGGUGUGGGAGUUCCAAUGAUGAGAAACCAAUUGAACAAAGAAUAAACAUAAAUUGAACCUAGGAUGGUGUCCUAAUGUUGUGAAAUAAAACGAAUAAACGAUUAAACUUAGAUAAAAUCUAGGAUGGCGUCCUNNNNNNNNNNNNNNNNNNNNNNNNNNNNNNNNNNNNNNNNNNNNNNNNNNNNNNNNNNNNNNNNNNNNNNNNNNNNNNNNNNNNNNNNNNNNNNNNNNNNAAACGAAUUAACGAUUAAACUUAGAUAAAAUCUAGGAUGGCGUCCUUAAGAUGAGAAACCAAAUGAACAAAGCAUAAGCUGAGAUAGAACCUAGGAUGGUGUUCCAAUGCCGAGAAAGCAAAUGAAUAAAGAAGAAAGUAAGAUAGAACCUAUGAUGUUGUCCCAAUGUUGACAAGCCAAAUGAACAAAGAAUAAACUAAGAGAGAACCUAGAAUGGUGUCUCAAUGACAAGAAACAAUUAUGAGAAACCAAGGAUGGUGUCCACACCAAGAGAAAACAAAGGAACGAAAAAGAAAUUUAGAUUGAAUCUAGGAUCGUGUCCCAAUGGAAGAAACGAUUAAACAUAGAUAGAACCAAGGAUUGCGGCCCAAUGAUGGGAAACCAAAGGAACAAAGAAUAAAUUGAGAUAGAACCUAGGAUGGUGUCCCUAUGACGAAACACGAAAAGAACAAAUGAUUCAGGUUAGACAAAACCUAGGUCAGCAUCCCAAUAGUGAGAAACCAAAUGAACAAAGAAUAAAGAAAAAUAGAACUUAAGAUGGUGUCCAAAUGAUGACAACUCGAUGGAACAAAGAAGAAACAUAGAUAGAACCUAGGAUAGUGUCCCAACAAUGAGAAACCUAAUGAACAAACAAUUAAGCUUAACUUGAACCUAGGAUGACAUCCCAAUGACGAGGAACCAAACGAACCAUGAAUAAAUUGAGAUGGAACCUAGGACACCCCAAUGAUAAGAAAUCAUAUGAACUAAGAAGAAACUUAGACAAAACUUAGGACGGUUUCCUAAUGAUAAGAAACCAAAGGAACAAAGAAGAAACUUAGAUAGAACCUAAGAUGUCCCAAUGAUGAGAAACCAAAUGAAAAAACGAUUAAAAUUAAAUUGAACUAAGGAUCAUGUCCCGAUGACAAGAAACCAAAAAAUGAUUAAGCUUAGAUAGAACCUAGCAAGGCAGGCCAAUGAUUGGAAAUAAAGGAACAAAUAAUAAAUUAAGAUAAAACCUAGGAUGAUGUCCUUAUGACAACAAACGAAAGGAACAAAUGAUUCAGGUUAAGAAAAAAACUAGGAUGGUGUCCCAAUGAUGAGAAACCAAAUGAACAAAGAAUAAAUAGAGAUAGAACCUAAGAUGGUGUCCAAAUGAUGAGAAAUCAAAUGAACAAAAAAGAAACAUAGAUAGAACCUAGGAUGAUGUCCUAACGAUGAGAAACCUAACACAAAACUGAUUAAGCAAAACCAGAACCUAGGAUGGCGUCGUAAUGAUGAGAAACCAAAUGAACAUUGUAUAAAUUGAGAUAGAACAUAGAAUGCUGCCCCUAUGAUGAGAAACCAAAUGAACAAACAAUUAAGCUUAUAUAGAACCUAGGAUGGUGUCCCAAUGUUGAAAAACAAAAUGAACAAAGAAUAAACUAAGAUAAAAAAAGGUUGGUGUCACAUUGAUGUGAAAGCAAAUGAAGAAAUGGUUAAGGUUAGUGAUGAGAAUCAACAAGCAUUCAAGGAUCCAUUGCAUGUUCCAGUUGGGCCUAUUACUAAAGCAAGAUCCAAGAAUAUCAAAGAAGCACUUAAUGGGCUACUUCAAGAGAUUUGAGUUGAUCCUAACGUAGGACUUUCCAAGCUUGGCCCAAAGGAGGAUGAAGGUGUAAUAAAUUUAAUCCAAGCUAGUGAGGGCUAAUCUGGCUUGAUUUAUGGCGUGCAAGGGCAACAUGUUAUUAAUGACAAAAAAAAAANNNNNNNNNNNNNNNNNNNNNNNNNNNNNNNNNNNNNNNNNNNNNNNNNNNNNNNNNNNNNNNNNNNNNNNNNNNNNNNNNNNNNNNNNNNNNNNNNNNNACGUUAGGAUCAACUCAAAUCUCUUGAAUUAGCCCAUUAAGUGAUUGACUUUCCAACUCCAUAUCAAUUAAUAGACAUUUUUCCUAUUCUAGAGCUUCUAAUUUCAGGCCAAAUACCUUAAUUUUAGGCUUUUAUUAUUUAGAACGUUUUUUUAGCUAUUUUCCUAUUUUGGAUCUGCUAAUUUCUAACCAAAUCAACUUUUAUUUAGGGUUUCAAUAUUGAGUAAGUUUUUUUGUCAUGACAUAUAAAUAGCAUGCACUCAUUGUAAUAGGGAAUAAUUUGAUUGAGUAAAAAAUAAAAAAAGGUGAGGCUUUGCUCUUCUUUUGGUUCUUCAAGAACUAUGAACUUAUCAAGGAUUCUUCCUCAUGGCGUUCAAACUUUAUACCUUCGGUUCGUGAUUCCAUUGUAAUCAUUGGGUUAAGGUCUGGUACUUAUACUUUUGGUUCACGUUUCACUUAUAAACAUUGGGUCAGGGUUUUAUAAAAAAUCUGUACGUUAGCUUUCUUGGGCAAUUAUUCCAAUACUAUUUGUUGGGUCUCAAAGCGUGUCGAUUGAGGUUCGCAUCAUUUGGUAUCAGAGCACAGGUUCUAAAAUCAGUUUUCUAUCCCUUUAUCUUUUGUUUCUUGUUAUCGUCCUAUCUUGUUCCUUUUGUGUUUUUUAUUCCUCAUUCUUUUUUUAUUUUUAUUUUACAUGCACUAGGUUAAACUCAUGCACCAAAUUCAAAAAAAAAAAAAAAUUGUGUGUAGUUUCAAUUCUCUCAAAUCAAAAUAUUAUUUUCUUUUGUCCUCUUCCUUUGAUUUAGUGUUUCUGUCAUAUUUUCUUGCCAUUAGUAUUAGUUUAAAUACUACAAGUUGAAUUUCUUGAUCAAGUUUGUUAGUUUAAGCAGAACUGAAAAGAGGAAGCUACGAGUGGAAAAAAGCAAUAGAAUGUGAGACUAAUAUCGGGAAAAAGCCAAUUUAAGAGUGAAACACGAGUGUGAGUGCAAACACGUGAGGGAGUGUUGUGAGGAAUUAUUUCUAACAUUUUUUUGUAGUUUUAAAAAUGUCUUCAAAGGGCGAAUCAUCAAAUAAGGAAGGAGGGGAGGAGUCAUCCCUCAUGUUGCAAGCUAUGCAACAACAGUUUGAACACAUGAACGUGGUGUUUAAUGAUAUUCGGGAUCUGAUGGAUAGGCAAGACACUGUUAUCGCUUCUUUGCAUGAGGAGCGUACCCAAAGAGCCCCUAAUGCUAGAAGACAAGGAAGGCGUGUACGCGUUUAUGAUUCUGAUGACUACCAUGAGGAUGAGUUUAAAGAUGAAGAGGAUCAAGCUUCAUUGAAUCAUGAGGGCAGGUUUGCGUCAAGGGGAGAAAGGCGUGGUAGAGGUUUCCGAAGAGCUCCAAGAUGGCAAGAUGGGAUUGAUAGAAACCUAGGAAACAACAAAUUGAAGAUACCAUCGUUUCAAGGGAAAAAUGAUCCAGAAGUGUACUUGGAGUGGGAGAAGAAGGUGGAGUUCAUCUUUGAGUGUCAUAACUACUCCAAGGAGAAAAAGGUAAAACUAGUUGUGAUUGAGUUUACUGACUAUGCUAUUAUAUGGGGGGAUCAACUUGUGAUGAACAGAAGAAAAAACUAUGAGAGGCCUAUUGAGACAUGGGAGGAAAUGAAAGCCACCAUGAGGAGGCGGUUUGUCCCUAGUCACUACUAUAGGAGCUUGUAUCAGAAAUUACAGGAGCGUGGAUGACUAUCACAAGGAGAUGGAGAUUGCCAUGAUUCCGACUAAUGUAGAGGAUGGAGAAGCUAUUAUGGCAAGGUUUCUGAAUGGGCUGAAUCGGGACAUUGCCAAUGUGGUGGAGUUACAACACUAUGUGCAGUUAGAGGACAUGGUGCACAUGGCAAUAAAGGUGGAAUGGCAGCUUAAAAGGUAAGGAACUCAGUCAUUUAAAAAUCUCGGCUCCUCUGCUUCAUGGAGGCCAAAUGGGAGGAAAUAUGAAGGGGUUGUUUUCAAGUCCAAAACCGAACCACCAAAAAGGAGAGAUGAAGCUCCCAAUGUCAACAAAGGUAAAAAUGAAUCCAAAACUUGUAAUCGUGAUAUUAAGUGUUUUCGUUGUUUGGGAGUAGGUCAUAUAGCUUUACAACGCCCAAAUAAGAGGACCAUGAUCGCACGUGUUGAUGUUGAGGUGGAAACUGAAAGUGAGGAAGAUGAUGACCAGAUGCCAUCAUUGGAGGAUGCUUGUGAUGAUAAUGUGGAGUAUCCAGUGGAGGGUAAGUCACUUGUGGUUAGGCGUGCUUUAAGUGCCCAAGUUAAAGAGGAUGACAUGGAACAACAAAGGGAGAAUAUUUUUCAUACUAGAUGCCACAUCAACAAUAAGGUAUGUGGUAUGAUCAUUGAUGGGGGGAGCUAUACUAAUGUGGCUAGCACUACUUUAGUUGAAAAAUUGAAUUUACCUACCUUGAAACACCCUAGACCAUAUAAGUUGCAGUGGUUGAAUGAUUGUGGAGAGGUUAAGGUAAAUAAGCAAGUGUUGGUUUCUUUUUCAAUUGGGAGGUACAAGGAUGAAGUACUUUGUGAUAUUGUUCCAAUGCAUGCGGGUCACAUUUUAUUGGGUAAGCCUUGGCAGUUUGACAGAAAGGUCAAUCAUGACAGGUUCAAGAAUAGGUAUUCUUUUGUAAAAGACAAUAAAACCAUUACUCUUGUAUUGUUGACUCCACAACAAGCGUAUGAAGAUAAAAUGAAAUUGAAAAGAGAGAAUGACUUGCAAAAAAAUUGUGAUAGUAAGAGUUCAAAAAAAGAUGAUGAGAAAGAGAGUGAAACAAAAAAAAAAAAAAAAAAUAGAGAGUGGAAAAAAUGAGAGAAAAACAAAAAAACAAGGGAGUUUUUAUGUUAAGGCGAGUGAUGUCAAGAAUGCUUUUUAUAUAAACCAGCCUAUAUUUGUACUCUUGUACAAAGAGAUAUGUUUUAACACUAAUGAACUUGACGAAUCUUUGCCUAGUGUUGUUUCUUUGUUGCAGAAAUAUGAGGAUGUGAUUCCUAACGAUGUGCCUAGUGGAUUACCACCUAUUAGAGGAAUAGAGCAUCAAAUUGAUUUUGUGCCAGGUAUGACAAUUCCUAACCGACCAGCCUAUAGGAGUAAUCUAGGGGAGACAAAGGAACUUAAAAGGCAAGUUGAGGAGUUGCUAACCAAACGACAUGUGAGAGAGAGCAUGAGUCCAUGCACAGUGCCGGUGCUGCUUGUGCCUAAGAAGGAUGGAACUUGGAGGAUGUGUGUUGAUUGCAAGGCUAUUAACAACAUUAUGGUAAAGUAUAAACAUCCCAUCCCUAGGAUAGAUGACAUGUUGGAUGAAUUGCAUGGAUCAUGUGUUUUCACAAAAAUUGAUUUAAAAAGUGGGUAUCAUCAAAUUAGGAUGAAAGAGGGUGAUGAAUGGAAAACUGCCUAUAAAACUAAAUAUGAAUUAUAUGAGUGGUUAGUAAUGCCUUUUGGUCUAACUAAUGCACCAAGUAAAUUCAUGAGGUUAAUGAAUGAUGCAUUGCGUGCGUUUAUAGGCAGAUUUGUUGUGGUUUAUUUUGAUGAUAUUUUGGUGUAUAGUAAGAACUUAGAUGGGCAUAUCAAUCAUUUGCAUUGUGUGCUUGUUGUUUUAAGAAAAGAAAAAUUAUAUGCAAAUUUAAAGAAAUGUUCCUUUUGCAUGGACAAAGUUAUAUUUCUUGGUUCUGUUUUUAGUAUGAAAGGAAUUGAGGUGGAUGAGGAAAAUGUGAAGGCUAUCAAGGAAUGGCCCACAGGUUAAUCACUGACGUAAGAAGUUUUCAUGGUUCGACUAGUUUUUAUUGUUGAUUUGUCAAAGAUUUUAGUACACUAGCCGCACCACUCACUAAAAUUGUUAAAAAAUCUGUGGGUAUUAAAUGGGGCAGUAAGUAAGAUCGUGCAUUUAUUUAAAUUAAAGAAAGGUUAUGUGGUGCCCCUUUAUUAGCAUUACCUGAUUUUUCUAAGACUUUUGAGAUUGAGUGUGACGCCUCAGGAAGAGGUAUUGGAGCUGUUUUGAUGCAGGAGAAGCAACCAAUAGCCUAUUUUACUGAAAAGCUAAAUGGGGCAACUUUGAACUACCCAACAUAUGACAAGGAGCUUUAUACACUGGUGAGAGCAUUGGAGACUUGGCAACAUUACCUUUGGCUGAAAGAAUUUGUUAUACAUAGCGACCAUGAGUCCUUGAAGUACUUAAAAGGACAAGGUAAGUUUAAUAGAAGGCAUGCCAAGUGGGUGGAAUUCAUUGAGACCUUCCCUUAUGUAAUCAAAUACAAACAAGGUAAGGAAAAUAUUGUGGCUGGUGCAUUAUAAAGAAGGUAUGCUCUUGUCUCUACUUUAAAUGCAAAGUUAUUAGGAUUUGAAUAUGUUAAGGAACUUCCGCAUCUAUAUUCGCAUCUUCCUCAUAUGUAGUCUCUACGCUUGAAAAAAAGCUUUUUGAUCGCAUCUGAAACGACAACAAGUGUGUGCAUUUCCUUAUCAAAGCCCUUGAACUAACCUUUUAGGCACAAAGGGCAUUCUGAGGCUGAAUUGUGUGGAUUCACCAGGCACCCACCAUAAUAUUGAUUUGUUGAAAACAGCUCCUUCGUCUACCGCGCCUAUUUGUAUUGCUACAAUCAUGCUUACCGAUAUGCAACUGACUGAAUAGGACAUAUGGCCGGGCAGGACGGCUUUGCUUAAGACCGGAAUGCUACCCCCGCUCGAACUCACUUUCAACGCUCGAACUCAAGAACUAAACUCAAGUCAUUGCUCCGCUCAUGCUUGCUUCCCUUGCCUAUCUAAAAGAAGAAAAGAUGCACGAGCAUGUGAGAAGACAGCAUUUGGUAAAUUCUAUAGACUAGAUGGGUACUUGUUUAGAGAGAAUAGACUUUGUGUGCCUAAUAGUUCUAUGCGUGAAGCACAUGGAGGUGAUUUAAUGGGUCACUUUGGUGUAAGAAAGACUUUAGACGUAUUACAUGAAUAUUUUUUUUGGCCAAAGAUGAAACGUGAUGUGGAGAGAGCUUGUGCUAGAUGCAUUACAGGCCAAAUCUAGAGUCUUACCACAUGGAUUAGACACUCCUUUACCUGUACCUAGUGCACCUUGGGUCAGGUUUCUAUAAAAAAUCUGUAUUUUAGCUUUCUUGGGCAAUUAUUCCAAUACUGUUUGUUGGGUCUCAAAGCGUGUCGAUUGAGGUUUGCAUCAGUUAGAUAGAACAUAGGAUGACGUUCCAAUGAUGAUAAAUGAAAUGAACAGAGAAUAAAUUGAGAUAGAACCUAAGAUGGUGUCCUAAUUAUUAGAAACCAGUUGAACAACGAUUAAACUGAGAUAGAACCUAGAAUGGUUACAUUAAUUAGAAACUAAAGGAAAAAAAAGAAGAAAUUUAAAUAGAACCUAGGAUGGGGUCCUAAAUGAUCAAAGAAUAAAUAGAGAUAGAACAUAGGAUGGUGUGCCAAUGAUGAGAAACCAAAGGAAUAAAGAAGAAAUUUAGAUAGAACCUAGGAUGGUGUCCCAAUGAUAAUGAGAAACCAAACAAAAAAAUGAUCAAAUAUAGAUAGAACCUAGGAUGGUAUCCCAAAUGACCAGAGAAUAAAAUGACAAAGAACAUAGGAUGGUGUUCCAAUGAUGAGAAACCAAAGGAACAAACAAUUAAACUUCAAUAGAAGCUACAAUAGCAUUGCAAUGAUGAGAAACCAAAUGAACAAAGAAUUAAUUGAGAUAGAACCCAGGAUUGUAACCCGGUGAUAAGAAACCAAAGGAACAAACAACGCCAUCCUAGGUUCAUCCUAAACUUACUCAUUUGUUCCUUUGGUUUCUAUUCAUUGGGACACAAUCCUAAGUUUUAUCUUAGUUUAUUCUUUAUUCCUUUGGUUUCUCAUCAUUAGAACACCAUCCUAUAUUUUAUAUCAGUUUAUUCCUUGUUCAUUUUGUUUCUCAUCAUUACGACACCAUUCUAGGGUCUAUUUAAGUUUCUUCUAUUUUUCCCAUAGUUUCUCAUCAUUGGAAUGCCAUCGUAGGUUCUAUCAAAGUUGAUUUGUUUCUUCCUUUGGUUUCUUAUCUUUGAGAUACUAUCCUAGGUUCAACCUAAGUUUUGUCAUUGUUCCUUUGGAUUCUCAUCAUUGGGACACCAUCCUUUGUUCUUUCUAUGUUUAUUCUUUGUUCAUUUCAUUUCUCCUCAUUUGGAUGCCAUCCUAGGUUUCUUGUCAUUGGCAUACUACCUCAAUUUUUUCUUUGUUCCUUUAGUUUCUCAUUAAUGAGACGCCAUCCUAGGUUCUAUCAAAGCUGAUUUGUUUCUUCUUUUGGUUUCUCAUCUUUGCGACACGAUCCUAGGUUCAACCUAAAUUUCAUCUUCGUUCCUUUGGAUUCUCAUCAUUGGGACACCAUCCUACUUUCUUUCUCGGUUUAUUCUUUAUUCAUUUUGUUUCUCUUCAUUUGGACACCAAGCUUGGUUAUUUCUAAACUUAAUCGUUUGUUCCUUUGGUUUCUCAUCACUUGGACAACAUUUUUCUAUCUCAGGUUAUUCCUUUUUCAUUUGGUUUCUCGUCAUUGGAACUUUCCUAGGUUCUAUUUAAGUUUAAUCAUUUGUUCCUUUGAAUUCUCAUCAUUGGGACACCAUCUUAUGUUCUUUCCCAUUUUAUACUUUUUUCAUUUCGUUUCUCAUCAUUGAGACAUCAUCGUAGGUUCUAUUUAAGCUUAAUCAUUUGUUCGUGUGGUUUAUCAUCGUUGGGACACCAUCUUAGACUCAAUCUAAGUUUUUUCUUUUUUGCACUUGUUUCUCAUCAUUGGGACAACAUCCUAUGUUUUCUCUUAGUUUAUUCUUUGCUCAUUUGGUUUCUCAUCAUUGGAACGCCAUCCUAGGUUCUAAUUUUCUUAUUUUUUACUUUAGUUUCUUAUCAUUGGUACAUCAUCCUUUGUUCUAUCUCAGUUGUUUCUUUAUAUCUUUGGUUUCUAAUCAAUGGGGCACCAUUGUAGGUUCUAUGAAAGAUAAUUCGUUUCUUUCUUUGGUUUGUCAUCUUUGCGACACUAUCCUAGGUUCAUACUAAGUUUCGUCUUUGUUCCAAUAGUUUCUCAUCAUUGGGGCAACAUUCUAGGUUCUAUCUUAGUUUAUUCUUUGUUCUUUUGGUGUCUCAUCAUCAGAUAAGCUUCCUAGGCUCUAUCUUAGUUUAUUCUUCGUUCCUUUGGUUUCUCACCAUUGGUACGCCAUCUUAGGUUUUAUCUCAACUUAUAUUCUUUGUUCCUUUGGUUUCUUGUCAUAAGGCCACCUUCCUAGGUUCUAUCUCAAUUUUUAUUAUUUGUUUUUUUGGAUUCUUAUCAUUGGGACACCAUCCUUGUCACAUCCCCGUUUUUAGAACUUAACAAUUGAUACUUAAAUACAACAUAAGUGCUUUAAAAAAUUUGGGGAUACAAAAAUUUAAAUGCUGGGUUCCUGCUUGAUUUUGUGCAAAAAGAGAAUAUGGAAAGCUACUUGAUUAGUUAACAAAAUAUGAUCCGUUUCACAAAAAGAACUUGUACUGUGUUACUUUACAUAUAACCCCAUAGUUCACUUUGGGUAGCCCAUACUACAAGUGUACAUGAAUAAUAUACAUUACACCAUUCCUUCAAAAAGAUUGAGUCUUUGUAUGAUACAAAGGAAAAGCCUCAAAACACUUUCAAUAUGAGCAAACAACAUCCAAUCAACAAAAAAGCAAUGGUCAAGAAUUAUUUCCAGCAUAAAUCUUCUCACCUGCAUCUAAAGGUGGAAGGGAUAGGGUGAGUUCAAACCUCAGUAGGAAAGUUUAUAACCAUCUUAAACAUACCCUUAAAAACCUUGAAUUAAACGUAUAAUAACAUUUGUGAUAAACAUUUUAUAAUCCUUAUCAAAUAUGCAAUAAUGUCAAACACGUAUGCAUGCGUUUGCUGGUUUCGUCUCUGCUUUUCCUCAUCCAUCCUUUCACAACUGAUAAACUGAUAACCCCCAACAAUGUACACACCAGAUAUCAAUGCUCCACAAGAUACUCGGUCAAUAUAAUAAUAUGAUUAUUCUAGGACUAUCACCCAAGGGUAAAUCAUAGACCUGUGUCUUCUUGGACUCAUACCUACGGGAAUGACCAACCCCGUAUCUUUAGGGACUAAAACCCAAGGGCAAGACCAACCCCAUACACACACAUCGGAGUGUCUUCCUCGAGGGCUCUAGGGACUUUCACCCAAGGCCCCAUGGUCUCACAUAAACAAUGUAAUACCUAGCACUAAUGAUUAUCUUAGUACUUAACUUUAAAUGUGCUUAAUUAGAUGUUACAACUAGUUUUAGUGUUAAUCCUAUUUAAUUAUGAAUUAAAGUUUGAUUAAGGUUAAUUGAGAUUAGUUCUUGACUUAACCAUGCUUAUUAGGUUUUUAGGGGUUCAUUAUAGUUUUGAAAAUCUAAAGGACUAAUGGGCAAUUAUGGGUUUUAUUUUUGAUAACUUGAAGGACUAAAGUGCAAAAUUGGGAAGUUGCAGUUAGUGGCAUGCCACCUCCUACUUGGGUGGAUUGGUGGUAGCCAUGUGGCCUGCCACCUCCUACUUGGCUCCAUGGAAAGCCCUAUAUAAGGGGUUGCAGCUCGUUUUGCACCAUUUUAGUUGCGGCAAGUUGGGUUAGAGAGAGAAUUUUAGAGAGAAAGUGAAGAUUUGAGAUUAAGCAAGUUGUUUAUUUUAGUUCCUAAUGUUAUGCUGAAACAAAUUAACGGUAAAAUUUGUGUAAAAGUUGAGUGUAAUUAGCUAUAAACAUGUUUUAGUUAAAAAUCACAAUUAAUUAGGGAUUAAAGUAUUUUAACUUAAGUAUUUUAUUAAUGGUAAGAUUAGCAUAAAUCUUGUUUAAUUGAAAAUUAGAUUAGUGAACAUGUGAUUAAUUAGGUUAUUUGGACAUUUGGGAUUUGUUAAUAGGUUAGGCUUUCAGAAAAUCACAGGAAUUAGUGUUUAGUAAUUAAUUACGGAAUAUUAAUAUGUAUUGUAAAUAUUGUUUAAUUCAAUUCAAAUUUGAUUUGAAAACCUGUAGGCAUGUAGAUUAGAGAAUAGUAGAAUUAAAAAAAAAAAAAUUAGCAACAGUAAAUUGUUUAAAUUUUCAUCGUUUGGAAGUCUAAAUUAUGUGUUUCAUUCCAGUUCCUUGUGUAGGUAAAGAUUGCCUACAUAGAACAAUCACAGAGGGAAAGCCCGUGUAAGGUAGGGAAUUUCAUGUUAUCCCAUAGUGUAUCUGAUUUCUUUUCUUGAUACAUUUAUUGGAAAUUUCAUGUCAUUUCUAUGAUUUCCUAAAAUGUUUUAAUGUGUCAUUGCAUUUUAUUUUAUUGUGUUGAAAUGUUACAUUGAGAUUGGAACGCAUAUUGGUAUGAAGAUUCAUGUUUCUGUGUUGUGGAAAUGGUUUAUGGUGUGGUUGCAUUGACAGAAGGAUAUGGAAUAAUCACAGAUGAUAUUAAGAGAAUUGAUUGAUGGGAAGUAUUUAUGCGAUGCUACAGACAUUAUCUUUAGAUAUAUUGUUUAUGUUGGACUGUGGGUCCUUGGGUGAAAGUCCCUGAAGCCCUCGAGGAAGACACUCAAAUGUGGGUGUAUGGGGUUGGUCCUGCCCUUGGGUUUUAGUCCCUAAAGACAUGGGGUUGGUCCUGCCCUUGGGUAUGAGUCCAAAAAGACACAGGUAUGACUUGCCCUUGGGUGAUGUCCCAAAAUAGUUAUUAUUAUAGUGACCGUGUAUCUUGUGGAGCAUUGAUAUUUGAUAUAUAGAUUGGUGGGGUGAAUAGUUUAUCAAUUGUGAAAGUAUGCACAAGGAAAAACAAAAAUCAUUAUGGCCUAUUUAAUUCAUUAGUGCUAGGUAUUACAAUAUCAGUUUAUUCUUUGUUUAUUUUCUUUCUCAUCAUUGGGACAUCAUCCUAACUAGGACUUUGUAUUUGAAGUUGAAGGAUUUUGCACUAGAUCUAAUUGUUCAAUUCUUUUUGUUAAACAUUUGAUUAAGUCAUCAUUAUUUGAAAGUUUAACUAUCUUAUUCCCUACCUCUACGGGUUUGAAAAUUGAAUGAUUUUUGUCUAAGUUUCUAUCUAGAAACUGUGGUGUGACAAUUUGAGGUGUCUCUAGUUUAUCUUCUAUCCUAUCAACUUGAGAGGAGAGGGUGCUUAGAAUUUAAUUUGUGGAAUUAUUUUGUUGUUGAAGGCUGUUAUAGUCUUUUAGUGUUGUUGUUCAUCUUUCAAUUUCUUUUGAAUAUAUUUUUUUGAAAGGUGAAGCUAUUAUUGCAAUGUUCCAAGCAGUUAUGGUUAUUUCCUCUCAAGUAGGAAUAGGUUCUAUCUAACCUUAAUCGUUUAUUCCAUUGGUUUCUUAUCAUUGGGACAUAUCCCUAGGUUCUAUCUCAAUUUAUUCUUUGUUCAUUUGGUUUCUCAUUAUUGGGACACAAUCCUAGGUUCUAUCUUAGUUUAUUCUUCGUUAAUUUGAUUUUUCAUCAUUAGGACGCCAUCCUGGGUUCUAUCUCAGUUUAUUCUUUAUUCCUGUGGUUUUCAUUCUUAGGACACCAUCUUAUGUUCUUAGGUUCUAUUUGAGCUCAUCUUAUUUUUUGUUUCUCAUCAUUGGGACAUCACCAAGUUUCUAUCUCAGUAUAUUCUUUGUUCAUCUGGUUUCUUCUCAUCAUUGGGAUCCAAUCCUAGGUUCUAAUUUUCUUAUUUGUUCCUUUGGUUUCUCAUUAUUGGGUUAAAUUCCUAGGUUCUCUAUAAAGUUAAUCAAUUAUUCAAUUGGUUUCUCAUCAUUGGGUUGAAUUCUUAGGUUCUAUAUAAGCUUAAUCAUUUGUUUGUUUGGUCUCUCAUCAUUAGGACCCGAUCCUAGGUUCUAUCUAAGUUUCUUCUUUAUUUAUUUGGUUUCUCAUAAUUGGGACACCAUUCUAUCUCAAUUUAUUCUUUGUUCUUUUUGUUUCUUAUUAUUGGGUCACCUUACUAGGUUCUAUCUCAGUAUAUUCUUUGUUUCAUUUAGUUUCUUAUGAUUGGGAAAUCAUCCUAAAUUCUAUCUAAGCUUAAUCAAUUGUUUGUUUGGUUUCGGAUCAUGGGGACAACACCCUAUGUUCUAUAUUAGUUUGUUCUUUGUUUAUAUGGUUUCUCAUCAUUGGGGGUCAAGGUUCUAUCUCUUUUUAUUCUUAGUUUAUUUUGUUUCUCAUCAUUUCGGAUGUCAUCAUAGGUUCUAUCUAAUCUUAAUAAUUUGUUACUUUGGUUUCUUAUUAUUGGGACACCAUCCUAGGUUCUAUCUAAGUUUAAUCUUUUUUUCCUUUGGUUGCUAAUGGUUGGGACACACCCGUAGGUUCUAUCUUAGUUUCUUCCUUGUUUCUUUGGUUUCUCAUCAUUGGGACACCAUCCUAAGUCCAGUCUAAGUUUCUUCUUUAUUCCUUUAGUUUCUCAUCUGUUGGCCACCAUCCUAGGUUAUCUUUGUUUAUUCUUUGUUCAUUUAGUUUCUCAUCAUUAGGACACCAUCCUAGGUUUUGUGUAAACUUAAUUGUUUGUUCCUUUGGUUUCUUGUCAUUGGGAGACUAUCCUUGGUUCUAUCUCAGUUUAUUCUUUCUUCAUUUGGUUUCUCAUCAUUGGGGCACUAUCCUAGGUUCAAUCUUAAUUUAUUCUUUGUUUUUUCAGUUUUUCAUCAUUCGGACACCAUCCUAUUCUAUCUCAGUUUCUUCUUUGUUACUUCUAUUUCUCAUCCUUGAGGCACCAUCAUAGGUUUGAUCUUAGUUUAUUCUUUGUUUCCUUCGAAUUCUCGUCGUUUGGACACUAUCCUGGGUUCUAUCUAAGCUCAAUAGUUGGUUCCUUCGGUUUAUCAUCGUCAUUGGGAUGCGAACCUAGGUUCAAUCUAACUGUCGUCUUUGUUGCUUUGGUUUCUCAUCCUUUGGAGACCAUCCUACGUUCUAUCUCAAUUAUUGUUUGUUCAAUUGCUUUCUCAUCAUAGGUACACCAUUCUAGGUUCUUUCUAAACUAAAUUAUUUGUUCUUUUGGUUUCCUUUCAUUGCAACACUGUCCUAGGUUCUACGUCAAUUUAUUCUUUGGUUAUUUGGUUUCUCAUCAAUUGGACACCAUCCUAGGUUCUAACUUAGUUUAUUCUCUGUUCAAUUGAUUUCUCAUCAUUGAGACACUAUCCUAGCAUCUAUCUAUACUUAAUCAUUUGUUCCAUUGGUUCCUCAUGAUUGGGACACGAUCCUAGGUCCUAUCUCCAUUUAUUCUUUGUUCCUUUGGUUUCUAAUCAUUGGUACACUAUCCUAUGUUCUAUCUAAGCUUAAUCGUUUGCUCGUUUGGUUUCUUAUCAUUAGGACACUAUCCUAGGUUUCUAUCUAAAUUUUUUCUUUAUGCCUUUGGUUUCUCAUCUUUGGGAUACCAACGUAGGUUCUAUCUCAAUUUAUUCUUUGUUGAUUUGAUUUCUCAUCAUUGGGUUGACAUCCUAUGUUCUAUAUAAGUUUAAUAAUUCGUUCAUUAGUUUUCUCAUGAUUGGGACACCAUCUGCGUUUCUUCAUAGUUCCUUUGGUUUCUUAUCAUUUGGACACCAUCCUAAAUUCGACCUCAGUUUAUUCUUUGUUCCUGUGGAUUCUCGUCAUACGUACAAACUCCUAAGUUCUAUCUCAAUUUAUUUUUUGUUCCUUUUUUUCUAAUCGUUGGAACGCCAUCCUAGAUUCUAUCUAAGAUUAAUCGUUUGUUCCUUUGGUUUCUAAUCAUGUGGAUACAAUCCUAGGUUCAAUAUAAGUUUCUUCUUUGAUCCUUUGGUUUCUCAUCCUGUGGACACAAUCCUAAGUUCUAUCUAAAUUAAUUCUUUGUUCAUUUGGUUUCUUAUCAUUGGGAAGCAAUCUAAUGUUCUUUCUAUGUUUCUUUUCUUUCUCAUCAUUGGGACACCAUCAUAGUUUCUAUCUCAUCUUAAUCUGUGUUUAUUUCGUUUCUCAUUGUUGUGAGUCUAUCCUAUGUUUUAUCUAAACUUUAUUGUUUGUUCUUGUGACUUCUCAUCAUUGGGACACUAUCCAAGGUUCAAUCUAGGUUUACUCUUUGUUCCUUCUGUUUUCUCAUCAUUGGGACAACAUCCUCGGUUUUGUCUCUAUUUAUGUUUUAUUCCAUUGGUUUCUCAUCCUUUGGAUGUUAUCCUAUGUUCUAACCUUAAUUGUUUCUUCCUUUGCUUUUGCAUCAAUGCUACACCAUCUUAGGUAUCUCAAUUUAUUCUUUAUUCGUUUUGUUUCUCACUGUUGGAACACUAUCAUAGAUUCUAUCUAAGCUUAAUCAAUUGUAAGUUUGGUUUCUCAUCAAUUGGAAUCCUAGGUUCAAUGUUAGUUUAUUCUUUGUUCAUUUUGUUUCUCAUCUUAGUACUAUACUUUAAGCAUGCUUAUUAGGUUCUUAGGGGCUGAUUAGGGUUAUGAAAACCUAAAGGACUAAUGGGCAAUUAUGGGUUUUAUUUUUGAUAACUUGAAGGACUAAAGUGUAAAAUAUGGAAAUUGGAGUUAGUGGAAUGCCACCUCCUGCUUGGGUGGAUUGGUGGCAGCCAUGUGGACUGCCACCUCAUGCUUGGCUGCAUGGAGACCCCUUUUUAAGGGGACUGCAGCUCGUUUUCCAUCAUUUCACCUGUAGCAACUUGGGUUAGAGAGAGAAAGUGUAGAUUAGAGGUAACCAAGUUGUUUAAUUUUGUAAUUUUCGUUUAUUUUGGUUCUUAAUGGUAUGCUGAAAAGAAUUAAUGGUAUAUUUGUGUAAAAGUUUAGUUUAAUUAGCUAUAAACACGUUUUAGUAAAAAAUCACAAUUAAUUAAGUUUUAAAUUAUUUUAUUAAUGGUAAGAUAAGCAUAAAUCUUCGUUUAAUUUGGUUUGAUUGAAAAAUAGAUUAGUAAACAUGUGAUUAAUUAGGUUAUUUGGACACUUGGGAUUUGUUAAUGGGUUAGGCUUUAAGAAAAUCAAAACAGUUUGUGUUUGGUAUUUAAUUAGGGAAAUUAAUAUGGAUUGUAAAUAUUGUUUAAUUCAAUUCAAAUUUGAUUGAAAUCCUAAAGGUAUAUAGAUUAGAGAAUAUGAGAAUUAAAAAUUAGCAACAGUAAACUAUUUAAAUUUUCAUGGUUAGGAAACCUAAAUUAUGUUGUUUCAUUUCAUUUCACGUUAUUUCUAUGAUUUCAUAAAAUGUUUUAAUGUGUCAUUGCAUCUCGGUUUAUUGCAUUGAAAUGGUACCAUGAUAUUGGAACGUAUAUUGGUUUGAAGAUUCAUGGUUUUGUGUAUUCAAAAUGGUUCGGGGUGUGGUUGCAUUGCAAGAAGGAUAUGGAAUUAUCACAUAUGAUAUUCAGAGAAUUGAUUGGUGGGAAGUGUUUAUGUGAGAUAUUGAUAUAUUGUUUAUGUGUGUCCUUUGGUGGAAGUCCCUAAAGCCCUCGAGGAAGACGCUCUGAUGUGGGUGUAUGGGGUUGGUCCUACCCUUGGGUUUUAGUCCCUGAAGACAAGUUGGUCUUGCCCUUGGGUGAUGUCCCAGAAUAGUCAUUAUGAUAUUGAUCAAGUAUCUUGUGGAGCAUUGAUAUAUGAUGUGUAGAUUGGUGGGGGUUAGCAGUUUAUGAUUGUUGAAAGGAUGGAUGAGGAAAAGCAAAGAUGAAACCAACACACACAUGCAUACAUGUUUGACAUGAUUACACAUUUGUUUAUGGUUAUAAAAUGUUUAUGCAUGCUAUUAAACAUUUAAUUUAGGGUUUUUAAGGGUAUGCUUAGGAUGGUUAUAAACUUUCCUACUGAGUUGUGAACUCACCCUAUCCCUUCCACCUCUAGAUGCAGGAAAUAAUGCUUUAUUGUGAUUGGAUGUUGUUUGCUCGCAUUGAAAGUCUUUUGAGGCCUUGCCUUUUAUAUCAAAGAUUGAAUCUUUUUAUAGGAAUGAUGUAAUAUAUAUAUAUAUAUAUAUAUAUAUAGGUACAGUUGUAGUAUGGGCUACCUGUAGUGUACAAUGGGGUUUUGGUAUAUGUAAAUUAAUGUAGUACAAGUUUCUUUUAAGAAACAAACCAUAUUUUGUUAACUACAAGUUAUAAAGUUUAAUACAUGAUGUACUCCUUAUAGCAGUUUUUGCAUAUCCUCUUUUGUACAAAAUCGAGCAGGAACUCAACAUUUAAAUCUUUGAGAGCACUUAUACUGUGUUUGAGUAUCAAUUGUUUACUUUGAAGAAUAAAAAAAAAACUGGGGUGUGACACUAUACAUAAUCAUUUGUUUUCUCAUCAUUGGGACAUCAUCCUAGGUUCUUUCUUAGUUUAUUCUUUGUUCAUUUAGUUUCAUAUCAUCCUAGGUUCUAUUAUGGAGAUGGUUCUAUCUAGGUUUCUCCUUUCUUCCUUUAGUUUCUCAUUGUCGGUACACCAUCCUAGGUUCUAUCUCAGUUUUUUCUUUCUUCAUUUGGUUUCUUAGCAUUGAGACACUAUCCUAGGUUCUAUCAAACCUUAAUUGUGUGUUCCUUCGAUUUAUGAACCAAUUUGGGACACCAUGAUAGGUUUUAUUUUAGUUUAAUGUUUGUUCCUUUGGUUUCUCAUCACUUGGACAAUAUCCUAUCUUCUAUCUAUGCUUAUUGCUUGUUUAUUUGUUUUCUCAUCAUUAGGACACCCUCCUAGGCUCUAUCUAAGCUUAAAUGUUAGUUCCUUUCGUUUCUUAUCAAUAGGACUACAUCCUAGGUUGAACCUUAGUUUCUUCUCUCUUCAUGUGGUUUCUCAUCAUUGUGACACCAUCCUAUUCUAUCUCAGUUUUUUCUUUCUUCAUUUGUUACUUCGGGUUUCUGAACAUUGGGAUACCAUCCUAGGUUUAUUUUAAGUUUGAUGUUUUUUCCUUUGGUUUCUCAUCAUCGAUAAACCAUCCUAGGUUCUAUCUUAGUUUAUUAUUUUAGGUACAACCUAGAAUGGUGUCCAUAUGGUGAUAAAUCAAUGAAACUAAGAAUAAAAUUAGAUAAAACCUAAAAGGGUGUCCCAAUGAUAAGAAAGCAAAUGAACUAAGGUUAGAUAGAACCUAGGAUGGCGUCCUACUGAAAAGAAAUGAAAGGACCAAAGAAUAAAUUUAUAUAGAACCUACGAUUGUGUCCCAAUGACAAGAAUCCAAAGGAUCAAACAAUUGAGCUUAUAUAAUCUAGGAUGGUGUCCCAAUGACUAGAAACAAAAUGAACAAGAAUAAUUUGAGAUAGAACCAAGGAUGGUGUCCCAGUGAUUAGAAACCUAAGGAACAAACGAUUUAGCUUCAAUAGAACCUAGAAUGGUGUCCCAAUGAUCCGAAACCAAACAAACUAGGGAUUAAGCUUACAUAGACCUAGGAUGGCAUCCCAAUGAUGAUAAAUGAAAUGAACAAAGAAUAAACUGGGAUAGAAACUAGGAUGGUGUUGUAAUCCCUAGCACUAAUAAAUAAAAUAAGCAAUAAUAAUUAUUUUAGUACUUAACUUUAAACGUGCAUAAUUAGAUGUUAAAACUAGUUUAAUGUUAAUCAUGUUUAAUUAUGAAUUAAACUUUGAUUAAGGUUCAGUGGGAUUAGUUAAUGACUUAAGCAUGCUUAUUAGGUUCUUAUGGGCUGAUUAGAGUUAUGAAAACCUAAAGGACCAAUGGGUAAUUGUAAAGUGCAAUUAUGGAAAGUUGGGGUUGGUGGCAGCCAUGGCCUACCACCUCCUACUUGGCUGCAUGGAGACCCCUUUAUAAGGGGCUUAAGCUCGUUUUGCACCAUUUCACCUGAAGCAGCUUGGGUUAGAGAGAGGAUCUAGAGAGAGAAAGUGUAGAUUUGAGGUAAGCAAGUUGUUUAAUUUAGUAAUUUUGGUUCCUAAUGGUAUGUUAAAACAAAUUAAGGGUAAAAUUCAUGUAAAAGUUGAGUGUAAUUAGCUAUAAAAAUGUUUUAGUUAAAAAAAAAAUCACAAUACAUAAGAAUUAAAGUAUUUUAUUAAUGGUAAGAUCAGCAUAAAUCUUUGUUUAGUUUGGUUUGAUUCAAAAAUAGAUUAGUAAACAUGUGAUUAAUUAGGUUAUUUGGACACUUAGGUUAUGUUACUAGGUUAGGCUAUAGGAAAAAAAAAAAAAAAAACAAUUGGUGUUUGGUAAUUAAUAUGAGAAUUAAAAAUUAAUAACAGUAAGUUGUUAAAAAAUAGUAAGAAAGGAAAAUUUCAUAAGUUUUAAUUGAAUAAAUUUUCAUGGUUAAGAAACCUAAAUUAUGUUGUUUUAUUUCAGUUCCUUGUAAUAGGUAAAGAUCGCUUACAUAGGAGAAUCACAAAGGGAAAGUUCGUGUAAGGUAGGGAAUUUUAUACUGUUCCUUGGUGUAGAUGAUUUCGUACCUUGAAACAUAUACUAGAAUUUCAUGUCAUUUCUAUGAUUUCAUAAAAUAUUUUAAUGUGUCAUUAAAUCUCGGUUUAUUGUAUUGCAAUGUUACAAUGAGAUUGGAACAUAUAUUGGUAUGAAGACUCAUUGUUCCGUGUUGUGGAAAUGGUUCAUGGUGUGGUUGCAUUGUAAGAAGGAUAUGGAAUAACCACAGAUGAUAUUCAAAGAAUUGAUUGUGAGAAGUGUUUAUGUGAUGCUACAUGCAUUAUCCUUUGGUAUAUAGUUUAUGUGGGACCGUGGGUCCUUGGGUGAAAGUCCCUAAAUCCCUCGAGGAAGACACUCCGAUGUGGGUGUAUGGGGUUGGUCCUACCCCUGGGUUUUAGUCCCUAAAGACACGGGGUUGGUCCUGCCCUUGGGUAUGAGUCCCAGAAGACAUGGGGUUUGACUUACCCUUGGGUGAUGCCCCAGAAUAGUUAUUAUUAUAUUGACCUAGUAUCUUGUGGAGCAUUGAUAUCUGAUGUUUAGAUUGGUGGGGGUUAGCAAUUUAUCAGUUGUGAAAGGAUGGAAGAGGAAAAACAAAAAUGAAACUAGAAAACACAUGCAUACAUGUUCGAUAUGAUUGGAUAUUUAUUAAUGGUUAUAAAAUGUUUACCAUGCAUGCUAUUAAACAUUUAAUUCAAGGUUUAUAAGGGUAUGCUUAGGAUGAUUAUAAACUUUCCUACUGAGUUGUGAACUCACCCUAUCCUUUCCACCUUUAGAUGCAAGUCAGAAGACCUAUAUAGGAAAUAAUGCUUGAGCAAUUCUUUACUGUGAUUGGAUGUUGUUUGCUCGCAUUGAAAGUGUUUUGAGGCUUUGCUUUUGUAUUAAAGACUGAAUCUUUUUGUAGGAAUGAUGUAAUAUAUAUAUAUAUAUAUAUAUAUAUUUGUCAGGUACACUUGUAGUAUGGGCUACCCGUAGUGAACCAUGGGGUUUUCGUAAAUGCAAAUUAACUUAAUACAUGUUUCUUUUGUGAAAUGAAACAUAUUUUGUUAACUGAUAGUUACAAAGUUUAAUAUAAGAUGUACUCUUUAUAACAAGUUUUGCAUAUCCUCUUUUUGCACAAAAUCAAACAGGAACUCAACAUUUAAAUUUUUGUAUCCCCAUAUUUUUAAGAGCACUUAUACUGUCUUUGAGUAUCAAUUGUUCAGUUAAAAAAAAAAAAAAAAAAAAAACAGGCUGUGACAGGUGUUGCAUUGAUUCGAAAGAAAAUGAAGAAACGAUUAUGGUUAGAUAGAACAUAGGAUGGCUUUAUAAUGAAGAAAAACCAAAGGAACAAAGAAUAAACUAAGAUAAAACCUAGGAUAAUUUCCAAAUGAUGAGAAAAGAAAGGAACAAAGAGGAAACUGAUAUAGAACCUAGGGUUGUAUCCCAAUGAUAAGAAACAAAAGGAAGAAUCGAUUAAGCUUAGAUAGAACCUAGGAUUGCGUCCCAAUUAUGAGAAACGAAACGAACAAAAAAUAACCUAAGAUAAUACAUAGGAUGGUGUCGCAUUGAUGCUAUAGCAAAGGAAGAAACAAUUAAGGUUAGAAAGAACAUAGGAUGGUGUCCUAAUAAUUAGAAACAAAGGAACAAAGAAUAAACUAUGAUAGAACCUAGGAUGGUGUGCCAAUGAUGAGAAACCAAAGGAACAAAUGAUUAAGCUUAGACAAACCUAGGAUGGUGACCCAAUAAUGAGAAGACAAACAAUUGAACUUAGAACCUAGGAUAGCGUCCCAAGGAUGAGAAACGAAAUGAACAAUGAAUAAAAUGAGAUAGAACCUAGGAUUGUUUUCCCAAUGAUGAGAAACUAAUGGAACAAACUAUUAAGUUUAGACAGAACCUAAGAUGGCGUCCCAAUGUUGAGAAACCAAAUGAAUAACUAAUAAACUGAGAUAGAACUCAGGAUGGUGUCGCAUUAAUGCAAAGGCAAAGGAAAAAACAAUUAAGGUUAGAUAGAACAUAGGAUGACAUCCUAACGAUGAGAAACCAAACAAAUAAACAAUUAAGCUUAGAACCUAGGAUGGUGUCCUAAAGAUGAGAAACUAAAUGAACAAACGAUUAAGCUUUAGAUAGAACCUAGGAUGGUGUCCUAAUGAUGAGAAAUGAAAGGACCAAAGAAUAAACAUAGAUAUAACCUGCGAUGUUGUCCUAAUGACAAGAAUCCAGAGAACCAAAUGAUUAAGCUUAGAUAGAAUCCAGGAUGACAUCCCAAUGACUACAAAUAAACUAAACAAAGAAUAAACUAAUAUAGAAUCUAGGAUGGUGUCCCCAUGAUGAGAAACCAAAGGAACAAAGAAGAAAUUUAGAACCUAGGAUGGUGUUCCAGUGAUGAGAAACCAAAGGAACAAAUGAUUGAGCUUAGAUAGUACCUAGGAUGGCAUCCCAUUGAUGAGAAACGAAAUGAAUUGGGAUAGAACUUAGGAUGGUGUCCUAAUGAUGAGAAACCAAAGGAACAAUGAAGAAACUUAGAUAAAACUUAGGAUGGUAUCCUAAAGAUGAGAAACCAAAAGGAAUAAACGAUUAAACUUAGAUAGAAGCCAGGAUGGCGUUCCAAUGAUAAGAAACCAAAGGAAAAACCAAAGGAAGUGCUUAUGUGAUGCUACAGGCCUUAUCAUUUGAUAUAUUGUUUAUGUGGGACCGUGGGUUCUUGGGUGAAAGUUCCUAAAGCCCUCGAGGAAGACACUCCGAUGUGGGUGUAUGGGGUUGGUCCUGCCCCUGGGUUUUAGUCCCUAAAGACACGAGGUUGGUCCUGCCCUUGGGUAUGAGUCCCAAAAGACACGGGGUAUGACUUGCCCUUGGGUGAUGUCCCAGAAUAGUCAUUACUAUAUUGAUCGAGUGUCUUGUGGAGCAUUGAUAUCUGCUGUGUAGAUUGUUGGGAGUCAGCAAUUUAUCAGUUGUGAAAGGAUGGAUGGGGAAAAGUAAUGAUAAAACCAACAAACACAUGCAUAUAUGUUUGACAUGAUUACACAUUUGUUAAUGGUUAUGAAAUGUUUAUCAUGCAUGUUAUUAAAUGUUUAAUUCAAGGUUUUUAAGGGUAUACUUAGGAUGGUUAUAAACUUUCCUACUAAGUUGUGAACUCACCCUAUCCCUUCCACCUCUAGAUGCAGGUCAGAAGACCUAUGC
rnacentral:lncRNA from 1 species